rnacentral:lncRNA from 1 species
CCGAGGUUUAACUUGGAAGCUAAGCAGUCCAACCAAUAAGCGAAGAAGGUUGUUUAACUAAGCCAAACUAACGUGUUCGCUCGCACACAAACGUUGAUAAAAAAAAGUCACAUAUGUCGUACCAACACGCUUUAGUCCCUUCCUCGCGUGCCACGUGUCCACGUUUUCACUGGGUCCCACACUCACUCCCCCUCCCUUUAAAUAUCUCACCCAUAACACAACCAUUCUUCAUCAAUCUAUACUCCUUAAUUCUUACAAUUUAUUAUCUUUCUCUAAGAACUCUUCCAAUUUUUUCUCUCUCUUCCUCUUUAGCUUCAUCGCCAUGGCAUCACCAGCAAGAACCUUCUUUGCCUUCAUUCUCGCCGUCGUCGCUCUCUUCUUCGCCGCCGCCAAUGCUCAAGACCUCUCCCCGGCUCCGAGUCCCGAUGCCGGAGCGGCGGGAUCCGUUUCGAGCUCCGUCGCCAUGAUCGGAGCUUCGGUUGUGCUGUCAUUGAUGGCUAUCUUGAAGCAUUGAAUUCGUUAAUUUCGUUGGGUUUGUACAAAAUUGAUUCGUUUUAUAUACAGAGUGGUGAUUAUGAGCUUUGGUAUCUAUACUUAUAGGUAUACCGGAGAGAGAUUAUACAGUAUUUAAUAUACUUAUUGUUAUUUGUUUUAGGACUUAGGGAGAAUAAGAAGGAUUUUAUCCUUUACAUUGGACCCGUAUUCUUUUUCAAUUUUUGUUAUGUAAUAAUAUAUUGUGAUUGAUGAUUUAUAUAUAUGUUUUUCCAUUUUUAAUCUAUUUUUUAUUUAUUUUCGUUAUGGUAAUUGUUUAUUGACUUAUUGUUGUUAUACGUUAUUUAUAGUAAUUUUUUAUUUUGUGCACAAGUAAUUUUUUAUUUUUUAUUGACUUAUGUAGAAAGUGGUACUUUACCGAAGUAGAAACGGAUGUUGAAAGAGACUUCAAUUAAAUUUUGAACCAUAUUCGAUAUUUAACUAAAAAAUUACGAGUUUUUGUGAAGAACUAUUAUAUAUUAUUGGAGUUAUUCGUUUUUUAAAAAUUUAUAAUCAUAUAUUUUAUAAUUUUACAUAGUCAUUCAAUAAAAAAUAAUCGUUGAUAUGAUUUUUAAAAUAAUUAUUAUAAAAAUGAGUAAUUUUAUCAUACAUAAUAAAUUGUAAUUAGACGAUGAUGUAAAAUAUUUUAAUUGUAUAAUCAUUUUUCUUAUAAUUAUAUGAAGUUUUGUGAGAAAUUAUUAAAUACUAACUUAUAAGAUUGGAUUUGUGAUUGGGAGAAAAGGAAGGUUUAAGAGUUGAAGGGAGAAGGAUGCCAUAAGAAAGAUGAUGUACUUAAAUUCUUCAUUAAUAUUUUAAUAAAAAUUAAUAACUAAUAUUAGUUAAUUAAAAAAUUUAUUAGAGAUUACUUAUUAGUUUUGAGGUUUAAAUAUAUUUUUUUCUCCUCCAAAUUAUCUACCUACUAAUUUUUAAUUUAAAAUUUCAUCUUUUUAAUUCUAUUUUACCUCAAUUAAUCAACCUUUAUUACUUUUCACUUUUUUUUACUCUAUUUCACUUCUUUUCAUUUCUCACAAUCAAACACUACCCUAAUGAUAAUUCAAACAUGACAAGAGCAUCAAAUGAUUGGUUGGCCUCACGAAACAAGUACGAAGAUUGCACCAUACCAUUUUUUUCAUUAUGUGAAUUGUUCGAGAAUUAGCCCAAAACUUGGUAUGUUAGAGAACAUCCUUUGCUAAGAAGAUUAAUAGCUAGUUGAUAUGACCCUUUUUUUUAAUAUCACCCUAAGUUACAAUUAUAUUAUUUUUAUAGAUUAUCCUUGAGUUGGUUAUAUUAGAAUUAGAAAACACAAAUACAAUAAUAAAAGAAAACAAGAAUUAGUUAGAAGAAGAUGAAAGCUUGCACAAACUUAAGAAUAUUAAUGUACGUGAAUGGUGCAUAAUAAAUAAUAUUAAGCAAGAGAUUUAAAUAACAAAACAAAUAAAAAUAAGGAAUGGAUGGAAAAAGGGAAAAGAUAAGUGAAACAAAAGUGCAAAAUAUGAAUAGAAAGAAGAUGCUCACAUGGUAAAUAUGUACUAUUUCCUUAGUUUAAUAAUAAAAGAAUUAACCUUAAAAUGUUGUAAGAAAAAUUGAAAUUAUUGAGAACAGUAUCGUUCCUCCAAUAAUCACAACCCCCAUACUUUUUUAGAAAUUUUAAUACGAUCUCAUGUAAAAUAUGAAUAGCACCAAAUCUCUCCAAAUCCCACCCGGUGUCUUGAGCUGUUUCCUGGUUGUAAGGUAAGGUAUACGUUAUUUUCUUGGUGGGGUUGUUAACAUAUUAAAAUAUAAAAAUAUAUUUAAUAUUUUCCUGAUAAUAAGCAAGAUAAUUAAUAAUAAAAUGUUAUAAGAAAAUUAAAAUGAUUGAAAACAACUAUCAUGUUUUAAUUUUUUAAGUCACCACAACAUUAUCAAUGUUCAGUAUCUAAUAAUUUUAUUAAUAAUUAUUUGUUGUCGAAAAUCUUGAAUCGAACUAACGACAUGUUAGCCGAUUAAUUCAAUAUAAUGAGUAUUUGUUUUCUCUUAGUUUUUAAUGUGUAAUUUAGAAUUUAAAUUUUAAAUAUAUACCUACACUAAUAUUUAAAGAACUUUCUCUUUAAUUAUAAAUAGUCCUACCUAGCUUAAGAAAAUAUAUUUUUUUCAGAGAUACUUGUCCUCCGUAGAAAGAAAAACUAUUUCAUGAUUGCAUAGGCAUAUAGGUAAACGUUAUUUUCUUGAUGCCGUUGUGACUUGUGAGGGAGCUUUCCAACAGUAACGGCUACUUGGAAUAGUAUAAUUCAAUUAUUAAAGGGGUGUCAAUUAUAAUGGCCACAACUUUUUUCCUUUUGCUGCAAAUGCAAAAAAAAAGGCAAUAAAGAUAAAGAAAACAGAGAAAAAUAAAAAUAGAAGAAUAGCACCGACAGCAUUAGCGAGAAGUCGCAGUCCAAUCUGAAAGCCAGAUCAUGAACUGAUGAACGCGCACCACAAUCUACGCAUGUUAACAUGUCGUCUUGUCUGUGUUUCGACGCUUUUCAAAUAAAAAGAUCUUUCCACAUGCGUUUCUUAUGUGAUUCUUAACUGUCAAUGAAAUUAUUAGACCAGUGUUCACACAUAUAGUAAUAUAAUCAUUUACAUUUUUUUUUUUAAGUAUGGACAUUUGCUGGAUGAAAAAUGUAUAGAAUAAAAUGAAUUGAUUACAAAAAAAUGAUUAUGAGAAGCAUCUAGACUCUACCGAGCAUAAAUUGAUGUUACUUGUAUAAUUUAUUAGUCUAGUCUUAAAAACUUUGAUGUAAAAUUCAUUAAACCUAACAUUUUCUUUUUAUAGGUAAUAAUUAAAAAUAGAUAUUAUCAAAUUUAUAAUAAUUUAUAUAUUUUAUUUAAUCAAUUUUUUUAUCAUUCAAUCUUUUUUAUUUAAAUCACAUAUUUUUUUAUUGAAGAUAAUUAUGUUUGAAUCAAAUAAAAUUAUUAUAAACAAUCCAACUUUCUUUAGAUAUUUAAUACAGGUAUAUGCUUAUCAGUUAAACUUAAAAACUUUUAUUAAGUUAUAAUAACAAUUGAUUUUUUAUGACUCAAUCUUACUUAGUGCGUAAAUAAAAAAAAUUUAAAUAAUCUCCAAGAUUAUAACGUGGAAUGUUUUGUUUUUUGAAAGUCGUGGAAUGGUUUAAUCAUUUUAUUAUUUCCUCUUCAUUUUAAUACAUAAAUAAAUAGUCGGUCAAAAUUAUGAACGUGGGGUAACUUCAUUAUUCAAUUAUUCGCUUCAUUUUUAACACAUUAUUCGUCAUUCAAUAAUUAAAUUCUAUAUCAGGUUAGUUUUUGACAAAAUCAUUAGUGACUCCUAAAAAUAUUAAUAAUAUAAGUUAAUCUCUAAAAUAUAGACUAAAACUUAAGAGCGAAUUAAAGUUAUCCCUUAUUAUUUUAAAAUAUUAAAUAAUUAAAUUUUUCUAUAAAUCAAAAUAUCCAUCAUAUUUUUGUUAUAAACCAAUUUAGAUAUUUGCAACAAAAAAAAAAAAAAACAAUAAGGAGUGUCACUGUUACUCUUAUUAUAAUACAAGUCUACUUCCACCGUUGUUCUCAAUAAUAUUUUUCUGAUUAGUUACUGUAUUAAUCUAAAUUUAUUAGAUGUGUUUUUUUAGUCUUAAAAAUUUAAAGACUAUUUUUUUAGUUCCUGAAUUUUGAUAAUUUUUUUUAAUCUCUGACAUAAUAAAUUAAUAUUUUAUAUCAGUUUUUAAUAUUUUGUGAUUAUUUUUUAGUAUUAUGAUAAUUUUAAAAUGCAAAUUCACGGGAUUGUCAAAUAAAAAAUAAUUUAUGAUAACUAAAAAUUAUCAUAAAAUAUUAUUUUAUUAUGCUAGAGAUUAAAAAAUAAUAAUUUUUUAAAAUUAAAAAAAAAUAGUUUAAAUUUAAGAGAUUAAAAAGACACACACCCUAAAUUAGAGAAUAAAACAAUAAUUAAACAUUAUUUAAAAUUAGUUUUGAUAUCAAAAACUAAUUUUUAUACUCAUUUUAAAAGUUGUUAAAACCUGUCUCUCAAUAAAUUAAAUAGAUUCAUUUUCUAAAUUAAAUUAUAAUGUUGAUUCAUUUUAAAUUUAGAUUUUAAAACUGUUAUAAAAUACUUAAAAAAUCGAUACAAAAUACUAAAAACGGAUGUAAAAUAUCAAAUUUAUUAUAUGAAAGACUAAAAAAUAACUUGUCAUAAUUCAAGAACUAAAAAACAUUUUUAAAUUUGAGAGAAUAAAAAAAUCACCCCCUAAAUUUAAAAACUAAAAAUGUAAUUAAGCCAUACUUUUCCAAUUGCAUUUCUUGUGCCACCCAAAUUUUCAUAGCAAUGUUCACACUUUACACAUAAUAAUUUACAUAGAAAUCGUGCCGAUAAAAAAAAUAUAUCACUAGUGUUAUAAUAUAAAUUAAUUCCUAAAUUAUUAAUUCAAACAAACGAAAAAGAUUAAAAUUCACCCUUAAAUAAUUUUUUCUUCUAAAUAUCAAAUUAUUCCUCUUUUUUUCACAAAAAAAACUUAGAUAUUUUGAUAACUUUUUUAAAAAUGGUAUAUAAAAAAAGGAAAAAAAAAAGAGGCCUCUUAAUCAUAAGUAGUAAGUCUUAAGUUUAAGUCUUAAGUUUUCCUACCGGAAAGUUCCUUGACAUGACAAUGUCCUCCUCCGCUCCUCCUUCUCCUUUAGUAAACAAACAACCCAAACGUUUACGGGAACUAUUCUUCAAUUAGUCGUUUCGUUUCGCAUCAUUGACUAUGUAACAUUAUUCACUUUAUGAAACCGCCAUAGAAAAUUUCAAAAUAGCAUUACGAGUUACUACCACACAGCCACGCGUUCAACGGUAGCCAUGGCAAUGCACAGAUCGGAGUGGCUUUUGCUUAUCCCGCCUCCAUCUCUGACUCUUCAUCUUUCCGUCCCCAAAAUCCAACGGUUGGAUUUUCCUUGCCUCAAAUGGCUCCUGUCAUAUUUAUAAAAUUUUAUAAAAAAAAUAUAAUUCUUUAUAAACUAAAAAAUAUAAUUUUAAAUUACAAUCAUAACAUAUUUUUAAAUUAUAAAUGAUAAAUAAAAUUAAAUUUGAUAACAUAAAAUUCAAUCCAAUAAUAAUAUAAAAUUAAAUUUAAUAAUUUCAUAUUUCAAUGUAUUAUAUAUAUAUAUAAUGAUAUUUUUAUAAAUUAAUUAUUAAAAGAACGACGGAUUCGAAAGUGAAUAUUAAUAAUUCUUAACCUUGAAUUCAACUCUAACUAUCGAAAAAAAUUUAAACCCGAUCCUGAUCAAUAUCAAAUCGAAUUUUUUCAUCAAAAUCAAGAUAAAUUUGGAUGGGUCCCACAGGUUUGGGCCCAUUGCAAUGCCUAUUCAACUGGAAAAGUUAAAAAAACAAAGCGAGAACAAGCAAUGAUCUCGAGUGGUUUAAUUAAUCACUUUACCAAAACGCUCAAAAAAGCACAGAAACGUAGCGAACCAUUCAUUCAGUUCACACCUCAACGUUUCCUCACCUUACAGCUGUCCACGUUUCCGUGGGCCCCGCGCCUCUUCCCAUAGUAUAAGUACCCCUACCCUCCUUCGUUUCUUACACCAAAACGAAACAAAGAAGAAAAAAAAAACUCAAACACCUUCAAGAACUUGUAUCUUUCUUUGUUAGUAUUUGUUACUACAAUUUUACAUUCUUUUCAUCUCUACAUAUUUCAUUAGUCAUGGCACCUCAAGCAGUUUCCUUCAAGUCCUUCGCCGUUGCUCUUAUUGUGGCGCUUUUCUUCUCCGCCUCCGCUCUGGACUUAGUUUCGGGGCAGUCGCCGGUGCCGGCGCCGGCGCCGGCACCAGAUGCCGGAGCAGCUGGAUCCGUGUCGAGCUCGGUCGCCAUGAUUGGAGCUUCCGUUGUGAUUUCAUUGCUCGCCAUCUUCAAGCACUGAAGAAUAAUCUGAUGAUGGAUCGAUUUUGUGUGAAGAUUAUUGAUUCGUUCUGCACACUCAGAUUUAUUGUUGCUGCUUUAUAAUACGUUACGAGUGAUGAUUAUUAUGUACGUAUAAAAGAGAGAGAGAGAGGGAUUUUACACCAUUCUUAUAUUGAACCAUUUAUUGUAGGUGUUAGUGAGAAAUAAGAGGGAUUUUGAAAUCCUCUGUUAUCAUCGUAACAUCGUUAUUUCAGUGUGUAAUAAUAGUAAAUAGUAAUAUACAUAUUCCCCAAUCUUAUGAUUGGUUAGUUCUUAUUGUUGUUUCUUUUAUCGUUUUUAACUGUUUUUUUUUCUUUCUUUUGGAUAUUGUUAAAUGUUAACCGGUGUCUUUAUCAUUAGAAUAUUGAUUACAAAAUUAAAAAAUAAAAUAUUUAAUGUAAAAUUUGUUGUAGAACGUAAAAAAAGUGUGGACUAUACAGAUUUAUACAUCCUAAUAAAAUAAUGUCUGAUUUUGCUUUACUUAUGUAAAAUUUAAUUCAAUUUUAUUUUUCGGUUGAAGAGAACACAAUAUGGAGUUAGUUCAAUUCUUCCUGCCGGUCCUCCUGAUGUCAUUUGCAAAAUCUGUUGCAAAUUCAUACUCUAUUAAUAAUUACCAAGCUCAUAUUAAAGGAAAUAUUUUUUAAAAUAUUUUAAUAAAGGUAAUUAAAUACAUGGUAUAUGUUAGUAAAAUAUUUUAGUAAAAUGCAUGACUGGACGUAAUUAAGAUUAUUUUAAAAUAAGACAAUUAUAUAAUUUUAGAUUAACUAGAAUAAUUACAGUGCCAUUAUUUUGUAUUUGAAUUUAGAAUGAUUUUAGAAGUGGUAGAAUCUCAAUUGUUACAAAAUAUGUAUGUCAUUCAUGGUCCAAUAUUUGAAUUUGAAAUAAUUACGGUGUAACACCUUGAAAUUUUUUUCUUUCUUUAUUUUUUUAUACGUGUAAUUUAAUUAUAUGUAUGUGGGAUUUAAUUUAUUUUUUUAUAAUAUUAAUUGUAUAAUUUAAGUGUUAGUCAUAUUUUUUAGUGUAAAUAAUUUAUUUAGUUUGUUGAUAGAAACUUGAGAACUGUUUGAAUAAAAAUUUCAUUUGUAACGAAAUUGCAUCAGGCAUUGAGUGAGUGUAAUUUAAUUCUUUAUGAAAUUUGCUAUAAAUACACAUAUUCUUAGGGAGAUUAGUCAUGUUCUGAAUUUGUGUGUUGAGAUGUUUUCGUUGAGUUUUUGGUGCCAAAAAUGAGUUCUUUGAAUGUUAUAACAUAUGAUUAGUCUUAAAUUUUACUUAAAUUGAAGUUUUAUAGCAAAAGUUAUAAAUAAAACAAGUAUAAUGACUUUUUGUAUGAUGAAAAUCUGUCACAAAAUUGGACUAAGUGUUAUAGCAAUAUUAACUAUUUUUAUUAAAGUAUUGACCUCAAAAAUGAGUUUAUUAUAUGUGAAAAAUGUAGAAUAACAUAUAAAAUUUGUGAAAAACUUAUUUUCGAAGCACCAAGAACACUAAGAAAAAGUUAGGAGUGGAACUUUAUAAAAUGAGCAACAAUGUGAUUUUUGACAAUAGACAACUUGAUAUUGAAAAUCGUGCAUCUAGAUAAAGUUAUCUUAAAAUUAUUUUUUGGAAACAAUUGAUUUAAUUUUUAUAUAAUUGCUGAGAUAAACUGUAAAUUCUAAUGAUAGAUGCAUGCUCUUGAAAUUGUAAUAAUUUUUUACUAAUACAUUUUCUACUCCAACAAGAAUCUUUGGCAAAGACUUGCCUUUCCCGUUUGGAGCAUCUCCCCUAACACUCUGACCCUUCUCAGGAACAUUAUCUCCAGUGGGCCCAGAUUCUUCCUCAUUCCCCUUAGAGCAUCUUUAGUGCUAGAUCUUGAGCAAGAACCUUGUGCUCAAGAUUUGAUCUUGCAUAGAUCUUGCAGUAAAGGUGUUGUAUAGAUCUUCAGGGUGAAGAAUGAGUUCUUGUAGAAAAACCUUGAAGGUCUUUGCACAAGCUUAAAAAAAACAAAAAAAAAACUACUUAAAAACAAACCAACGGACCAACAUAUCAACCCACGUGAAGAAAAAAAAUGGAAGAAGGAAAAAAAAUACAAGAACAAAAAUGCAAGAACAGAAGAGGAAGAACGAAAAAAAAUACCUUGAGUUCAAUGGAGGUUGCGGGAGGAAGAACAGAGAGGGGGAGGGAGGAAGAAGGAGACUGCGGGAGGGGGAGGGGCCGAAGGAAGAAGAAUGGGGAGAGGGAAGUCGCAAAGGGGGAGGGAGGAAAAAGGAGAAGGGGCGCAAGGGGAGGAAGAAGGGGGAAGGAAAAGGCAGAAGAAGAAAGAAGAAGAGGUUGGAGAGAGGGAGGAGAAAAAAAAUGAGAAUGGGACAUUGGGAAGUGGAGAGAGGAAGUGAGAAGUUGAAAGGGAAGUGGGACGUUGGGGAAAGAAAUUUUUUUUAUAUUGUUUUCAAAUUUUUUUUAUUUACAAGUGGGGUCCAUGUGGGACUUACAAAAAAUUGUCUAAGAUCUCAAAAUGAGAUCUACCACUAAAGAAAAAAAAUAUAACAGAUCUUAAUAAAUCUUCAAUCUUAUGUGACAUUAUGAGAUCUAUCAAAAAAUGGUCUAAGAUCUCAAUUUGGGAUCUACCACUAAAAUUGUUCUUAUCUUUCUUAUUAGCAUUAUCCCUAUGUGCUCUCUGAUUAGGUAAACCAUCAUUAUCAUCCUCUUGAAGAACUUCAAACCUAAAUCCAAAGCCCCCUUUCUAUCCUUUCAAUUUCCCGUCCACCCCAAUCAAUGGCAUUUUCCCCUUCUUAAACCUCUGUUCACAUUGGACAACCAUCCAAGGACCAAAAUCCUCAUUAGGGGCCUUUUUCACUCACUUAGGACCUUUUUGAAAUGACAUAAUAGAGCUCCCAACUCCCACACCAUUAAUCUCAUGGCCUUCCAAGAGGCAUACUUCUUUUUGUGCCUAUAUCUCCCACAAGCAAAACAAACCAAUUAAAGUUCCUCAUACUUUGCACUAUAAACUCUACUAUUCAACUCAAAUUGUAAAGGAAACACCAUGUUCAAAUCAACCUCAAUACAAAUCCUAGCAAAUUUUGCCCUCUUCGUCACAUAAUUCCCUAAUUCCAUAUCCUUCUUUGCUCGCAACAUAUUCGAAUCCAUCUUCCAAGAUCAUCCCCAAUACUCCACACAAUAAAUUUCACAUAGUACUCAAUCUGUAGGUCCUUUACCCUAACUUACAUAGCCACCUUUCUCAUUUGUCUCUCAUAGGGAAAAAAAUCAGGGUCCAUCUCUGAACCAACAAAUACUGGUCCAUGACCAUUCAUGGACCACCUUCAAACAUGAAGCACAAGUCCGAUAAAACAUAGAACCUAAUGAGAAAAUAGUCACUCUCCAGGUCUAUCAUCUCCAUCUCACCCAAAGGUUGCCAAAGCUUGGGUAACCUAACUCUCAGAAAUCUCAUACUCAGUUUUUUCCUUAACAACUUCACAACAAUUGCCUUCUUCCAAGGUCUGCAUGCUUCCUUAAUCUGAUCCUUGGGAACCUUAACCCUAGGUCGCAAAAUAGAUUUCGGCUCCAAAGCCAUGUCAACACUCAGCAACACCUCCUUGUCCUUGCUCACAUAAUCAUCCUAAAAAAUCCACCCAUUAUUCUAAUCCACCUCACUAUCCACAAUAGCACCAUUUAGUCCUAAAAACAUGUCCUUUUAGGAAAUGUCAGGUCGAAUCAUAGCUUCCCCUGUGGCAGUAAGGAAAAGGGGUAUCCCCUUGUUCCAUUUGGCAAAACCCCGUUGGCAGGUGGCUAAGUCUCUAGGACCACAAUCCCUUGGGAUUCAUGUCCCUUAGAUAAGCCAGACACAUUAACACCACCAACUUUACCCUUUUUCUUACUACAAUCAAGGUGGUCCAACUCCUUGGUCAGAUUGUGCAAAACCCUAAACGUCACCAUCUUGCAACUUAGUUUUUAAUUAUGCAUGCAUGUCAUUUCCUUGAAUUAAAUUUUAAAAAGUAAAAGAUUCCAUAGUUUUUUAGUUCAAAACUUUUGGUUUUAAAUGCUAAUGCACAUCAACUAUGAUGGAUAUUAGCAUUUCCCAGCCCCCCUUACUUUGUCAAACCAAAUUAUUCUUUACACACCCCUAACAACAACCACUUUAUUCAAGAUGCAAGUUUUAGAUAAAGUCUACGCUGAAAUCUAGAUUGGUUUUUGCUAUAAACCAAAUAAGAUGGCUUAUGAACUAGUAGUUGUAUAAGCAAUCUCAAAAGGGAUGAUAAAUCAAUAGGACACUGGAUGAGCUGACUUAAAGAAGCCCAAAGAUCAAGAGCAAAAGAAGAUGGGAUGCUGUUUCAGCAUAGGAACCAUAAUGAGAGCAAAUGGAGGCAAAAGAUUGACCACACUUUUGUAGAUUAUCAUCAGUAGGUAGACUAUUAUAAAUCCAAGGCCAAUAGAAAAAAAAUAUUUUGAGGGAGGAAUCCCACUGCCACAAAUUAAGUUUUUUUUCCAAACCAUCUAAAUCUAUGUUUGGGUCAAAAAGUGACAUAUUUUAAUUUUGUAAAAGCAAAAAACAUACUAAAAUAUUUUACAUGAACGAAUUUUAAAUAUUUCUAUAUUUUUAAAGAUAAAAAAUAUAUUUUAACAUAUUCAAAAUAAUUAAACACAUAGUUUAAGUCAUAAACCCCAUCAUACCUAUUUUUUUUCUCUUUCCUCUCUUAAGUGUUAGAUGACAUUAAGUAUCCCUCAAAUAUUUUCCUAAGAAUAGCUGCUUUAUUAAUUACCUUAAAGGGCUAAUUCCCAAAUCAACUGGUGAGCAAACCUUGAGCCAAGCAACAGUAACCAAUUUGGACUUGUCCACAUCCUCCAUCCAAAUAAAAUGAAAAUAGCGAAUGCACGAAUCUAGCUUGUUUAACAUUGUAUUUGGCCAAGCAUAAUAUGAAACAAAUGCAAAUGCAAGCUAUGAAUAACAAACAUAACAACCUAAACUCUUCCCGUAUAGGAAAGAACAAACCUCUCCAAGCCCCUAAAUAUGAUCAAGGAAAAGAAAGGAAAAACUUAAAUAUGUUUUUAACUCUUUUGUCCUUCAAAAUUUAAAAUUACUAGAAUAAACAAUUUUAGUUUUAGUUGAUGUAAAAAGAAUUGAUUUUCAUUCAUUCAAAAUUUGAAAUCCCUAUUUUUCAUAUCUAGACGACUAGACCUUUCAUUAAAUCAGUUAACGGACGUCACUUGUUUUUUUUUUUUUUUUUAAAGAACGGAUGUCACUUGUUAAUAAGACCCAAAAUAAUUAUUUAAAAUUUUGUAGGAAUGAAAUUCAAAAAGAAUUUAUCAACACCGAAUUCUAAAUAUACUCAUUUUACAAUUUACACAGCCCCCCCCAAAAAAAAGAAUGUAAAAUGUAACUAUACUCUUGUCCUUUUAGACUUUUAUUUCUAAUAUGGAGGGUUGUUCAAUUAGUUCUUUUAGAAUAAAUAAAAAUUUGAUUUAAUAUUAAUGCAAUUGAAAUGAGAUGAACAAAAUGUAGCCAAAUAAAACUAAAUAACAAAUAAAUUUCCCCUUAAACAAACAGGCUUCUUAAAUUGAAUGAAAUUUCACCAGGAAUCGUAUAUUCAAUGGGUGAAACUUAGAUUGUACUAGUAUAUUCAUCAAAAGGAAACGGGUCAACAAUACAAGGGCCCUGACAAAGUCCUAUAAAAGAUAACAAAACCGAUACAUAUAUGUUGAAACCUUUCCUAAGGCUCUUGGUGCUGUGCCACCCACUAGCAAGGAAAUCCCAGUAUACAGUAAAAAGGUAUAUCUUGGAUCUCAAUAAUGUGAACAGAAAAGAAACUUCAUCACCCCAAUCAAUGUUUGCAUAUUAACAUUGAAAUCCGCCAGACAAGUAAUACUUCUAAAAGUCUCACCGAUGGCUAAAAGAGUGCAUUGCACCAUGCUUCAAAUAGAGUAUACCACCAUCAAUCCAUACUUGGAUUUAUAUGCUUUAAAAAUUAACUUAUUUAAGUUUUAUAUACCCUCAUAGCAUGUCCAUCUACCAUUUAACGCAUGCACUUUAUUACAACAACGACGGAAUGUACAGUGCAACUUCUUUCUCUGGUAUCCCUGAAAUUUUGAUUAAAAUAAAUAAACUAACCAUUGUUAGCAAACACAGUUUACAAUAAAACACACAAAAAAAGUUUACAAUUACAACUUGGACAAGAAAUCGAUUGUUCCAAAGUAAAAUGUAAGGGUUCGGGGGAAAAAUCCAACACCACAACUUGAUGUUGUAGGAAAGAGAGAACACUAAAAAAUUGCCUGAAAUAGUGCUCUGAUACUUGCACCCUUUCUUAUGUUACUAAUUACUAGUCAACAAUAAAAAAUUGAACCCCACUUAACACUAAUCUUACAUAAAAAUAUAAAAGCUAAGACAAUCCACAAGCAGUAUUCAAAUCAAAUAAAUCAUUUAAACACUGCAGCCUUUGUGGCCUUUGUGUGCUAUGUAAUAAUUAUAAAUUUAACUACAAAUAAGAGUCUCUGUUGCGGAGUCAAGACACAGGAAUUCAUGAUUGGGUUUCUUAUUUUGUUUGUGUCUUAUCUGUUGCUACCUUUCCUUUUACUCUGACAACACCCCAAAACCCUACACAAGUGUUUGUACAAACUACAAAGACUGAUAGGAUUAUUGUAGACAAGACAUUGGCAAAGAUGGCUACUACAACCAAAAGCAGGAUGACUAUGAUGGAAAAGGAUGGACAUAACUUGAAUUGCAGCACCUAAGCUCAGUUUUGGGCUAUGGGCCAAGCCCAAAUCGGUAGAGAGAAUGACUAGGAUGUUGAAAAAGGAAACUAUUUUCUAUACACAAUGGAAGCACUCAAUCCCAACUCACUAAUGAAAGGGAAUGCGGUAAUGAAAAAGGAGAAUAGUGUCUAUCCUAAAAGAAGCACAUGCUUCAAAGGGAACCGAGCCUUUAAGAUCAUAUUACUAUACAUUUGGUUUGGCCACUAUAGAAGACAAGAAGUAGAGGGUCACUUCAGCAAUGAAUGAAUGUUACUUCUGGAGAUUUGGUCGGGAAAUAAUGCAAUGCUCGUGAUCCUUUCUUGAGUUAAAAGUACCAGGCCCAAUUUAUUAAAGAGGGAGGCAAAACUUUUGGGGUUGAAGUCAUGGUGACCUGUAAGGAGAAAACCACUUCACUUGGCUAAGGCUCAAUAGCAUGGGUGAGGUUGGAGAUGGUUCAAUGACAACCAUCACUUAGUCAUCGGGACUCUCAUACCAAGUCAAGAACACAAGAAACAACAAUCCCAAAAAGAAAACUGGUUUUAUAUUCUCUGACAAAAUGGCAACAGAACGAAGUAAGAACGAAAGAAAGGGCCUAUAGUUUUCAGGGAAAUGUAACUCCUUUCUGUGGUGGGCCAUGGGAUCAAGUAUUGCUUAUGGACAAACAAUCUCAAUGAUAAUGCAAAAAUAAUGUGUAUAUAUGCAUACAUGAUAGAAAAUGAUUGAAAGCAAUAAAUAAUACCGGGUAUCAACUUCAGAUAGUAGACAAAUUUAAAGAAAAAUCUCAAAUCAAGACCAACAAAACUUACAUUUCAGAAAAAUUUGGGGUGAUCAAGUGCAUAUGGUUUACUGAAAAAGCACCAAUUGCAGACUUGCAAUAUAAAAAUAACUUUUGACAUUGAAGCUUGUCAUUUUAAGCAAGUAUCCUGCAGAGAUAACACGCAGGAAGCAAUUAAAACUAGGGAUAUCAGAGAAAAACAGAGGCACUAGGCUUAACAACAAUUCUAUUCAAACAAUUAUGCUUAGAUGUAAAAAAAAAAAAAAAAGCAUGCAUCAGGGCUAGAUAUUUGGGAAUAAAAAAUGAGGUAGAAAAACAAGGUUAACUUAUAUGUGAAACUCGUUUGGGAAUCAGUCCCCCAAAAAAUAAAAAAUAAAAACUUAAACUUUAAUGCCUAUAAGGGUGCAUAUUGGAACUAAAACAUAGCAGCAGGGACCAAUGUUUACUAAUAAGGGUGUAUGGGGAUUAAUAUCUAAGCUUCUUCAUACAUGAACUGAUUCCUAAAUGAGUGUAACCUAUUGGGACCAAAGUUGAACCAAAAAACAAAGAAAGACCAAUUAAAGAAAGAUGAAAACAAAUUUUUCUUUGCACUUCUGUAAGAAAUAUUCAUUUGAUGGCAGUAUCUAUGGUUGGAAAGUAAAGAUAAUUAGAACUAAACCCUGCAUAAUCAUUCACCAAUUUUAGACAAUCAUUUGAUUUUCUCUUUCUUUGAUCACUUAAGGCCAAAGUUCAUAAGCUUUUAAUGUCCAUCAUUCCCAUUUUCUCGAAGGCCCCAAAAUUGCUUAAAAUGGCCCUAAAGAAGUGGUGCUUCCUUCUACCUAGUGUGAUUAUCCUUUACUAAAUAGCAACCAAAUACUAGUUCUAGUUGAUUCCUUUCUUCACCUGUUCCAUUCCAUAUCAUAUGUCUAGAUGUAAAAGGAGAAAGUUGGUUAUAAGGCACAUAUGUACUCUCACAUUCAAAAUCAAAAGGCUACAUGGAAGCACACUAAACACAUUCAUUUCUUCAACCCCAACCCAGAAUAAAAUCUAAAAUUGAACAUGUUUAUGCAAAGAUAAUAUGAGCAGACUACUAUUACUAAAUGUGAUGUGGCUUCUAAAUACCCAUAAAACCAAUCACCAUUCAUGGGAGCAUCAACAUUGUUCCGUUAUCACCCCUUUUGUUUAACAUAGUUGCAGAAGGUUUGAGUGGCCUAAUGACCAAAGCAAUUGAGGGGGGAUUUUACAAGGGAUUCUUGGUGGGCACAAAGAAGGUGGAGGUUAGUCUACUUCAGUAUGCAGAUGACACGAUAUUUUUGGGAGAAGCAACUUUAGCGAACGUAAGAACAAUCAAAGCAAUACUUCGAGCAUUCGAGAUGGCAUCGGGGUUAAAGAUAAAUUUCGCCAAGAGUAGUUGUGGGGCCUUUGGGGUGUCUGAGCAGUGGACUUAUGAUGCAUCCAGUUAUCUCAACUGUGGGCUGAUGUCUUUUCCUUUCACAUACCUUGGUAUACCCAUUGGUGCUAAUCCUAGAAGAUGUCAGACUUGGGAACCCUUAAUCACGAAGUGUGAGAGAAAACUAGCGAGAUGGAAACAGACACACUUGUCUUUCGGGGGGAGAGUGAUUCUCAUAAAUUCCGUGCUAACAUCUAUUCCAAUUUACAUUUUAUCUUUUUUCAGGGUCCCGAGGCAGGUGGUUAGCAAGCUAACCAGAUUACAAAGGAAUUUCUUAUGGGGUGGUGCAGCAGAUCAAAAUAAAAUUCCGUGGAUCAAGUGGGAAAAGGUUUGUAUGCCUAAGGAGCUAGGUGGGUUGGGAGUCAAGGAUAUUAUCUCGUUCAACACAUCAUUAUUAGGAAAGUGGAAAUGGGAGAUGUUUCAGAAUCAGGAGGAGACUUGGUCUAGAGUCCUUGAAUCGAAGUACGGAGGAUGGAGGAGUCUUGAUGGAGCUUCGAGGGUCAGCACUGAAUCAUUAUGGUGGAGGGAUCUAAAGAUAGUCAAUCAAAGUCUGAAUCAAGGUCACCAGCUGAACAGGUUGAUAUUGUGGAGGGUAGGAUGUGGGGACAAGUUUAAGUUUUGGGAGGAUAGGUGGAUAGGAGGAGAUAAAAGCUUGGCUAGGAAAUAUCCUAGUUGUACACCAUAUCAGCUCAACAACAUCAGUUCAUUCAUCAAAUAGGUGCUGUGAAAGAAGGUGGGUGGGAGUGGCAUUUUAAGUGGAGGAGACUUUUGUUUGAUAGCGAGAUAGGUAUGGCGGUAGCUUUCCUCCAACAGCUGGAAGGGUUCACAAUCAGGUCGGAAAUAAAUGAUCAUUGGAAGUGGGCGGCAAAGCCUAGUGGUUGUUAUUCGACUAAGAGUGCAUACAAGGCAAUUCAUCAUGUCACAGUGGAAGAUGGACAGGAUGGAAAGUUCAAGGAGCUAUGGAAGCUUAGGGUCCCAUUGAAAGUGGCUAUCUUCGCGUGGAGGCUGAUUCAAGACAAAUUGCCAACUAAAGUUAAUCUGAAAAAGAAGCGGGUUGAGUUACAAGAGUAGGCCACUUGUGUCCUUUCUGCAGAUUAGUGGAAGAGACUGUAGGCCACUUAUUCUUCCACUGCAGUAAAAUUAGUCCCCUAUGGUGGGAGUCACAGUCAUGGGUAAAUAUGAUGGGCAUUUUCCCUUAUAAUCCGGAUCAGCAUUUUAUUCAGCAUAUUUGUGGAGCUUCUGCAGGGUUGCAGGGAAAAAGAUGGCAGUGGUGGUGGUUUGCUCUCACUUACUCGAUUUGGAAGCAUAGGAACAGCAUUAUUUUCUCCAAUGCUGUUUUUAAUGACCAGAAAUUAAUGGAAGAUGCAGUGUUCAUGUUAUGGUCAUGGCUCAGAUGUUUGGAAAAAAAUUUCUCUUUACAUUUCAAUCAAUGGUCCUCAAAUCUCAAAGAUGUCUUUCUUAGGACAGCAACUUAGGAAUAGAAUUUGCUCCAGGUCUUUUUUGAGUAGUUUGGGCUAUUUUAGCUACUGUAUCUUGUUUUGUCCCGAACUACCUGUAAAUUGGCUCUAAAUUUGUAUUAUCUAGUACCUCUGGUACUCAUCUAUAAUAUAAUAUAUUAUUUUUGCUGAGCAAAAAAAAAAUGGGAGCAUCAAACUUGGGUAAAUACCAUAAAAGUUUGGCUCAGCUUAUCAACAAUAGAACAAAUGGUGAUGCUUCCCAAAGAACUAUCAUAACUGAGACUUCAAAGAUAUAAAUUAAUAAAAAAAAAAAAUUAAGCACCAAAUACGAAAGUAAAAUCAUGUAUCCAGAACAUCCAGAAUCACAUUGCCAUGUUUGGAUAAGCUUCUCCAUUGCACUUAUAGAAGAAGAAAAUAAGAAGGAAUAAUGAAAUAAGCUUCCACCAUAAGCUAAGUCAAUGAGAGAAGCUUAUUUCAUUAUUCCUUCUUAUUUUAUUUUUCAUAAGUGUUAAUGGAGAAGCUUCUUCAAACAGGGCCUAAGUAAAUUUGUUGGUUUAAGAACAGGGAGUUCCUUAGAUGAACAUAAGAUUCUUCAAACCAAAGCACCAUAAUGAAGAAAAGGAUACAAAAGAAAUAUUAUUAUUAUACAUUAAUCCAUAUACAAAAGUUGCCCACAAUUUAGGUAAAAGGAAACACAAGUUUGAAACUUACUGGAACAUACAAACAAAAGCAUUCAUCUUAAAUGCAUGUUAGAAAGGAAAUCUGACAACCUGAAAGCAUCAAUUUUUAGGUUAGUGAAAUGAACAAGAAAAAAGAGUGAAGGAAAGGUUAAGGCCAGAGAUAAUGAGAAGGCAAAGGGCAACCUGAUGUCUUUUGCAAUUACAGUAUCACCCUCUGCAGCCCCUAGAUGUCGCAAAACUACCUGCUCCAGACGGCCAUCUUGAAAUGCAUGCUGUGAAUAAAGAUGGAAGAAAGCAAUCUUCAGUCAAUUUUGCUAAUAGAUAAUCCUCACUUUUAAAACAGUUCAAAGGCCAAAACCACUAUCUAGACAUCAUAAUUCAACACAAGGUAGGGGAAUAGAAACUGUAUGCCUGCAAAUACUAAUAAACUUAGGUACCAGAAAGGAAGAAACAAGUUGCAGACAUUGUUUUCAAUGCUGCAAUGCUAAUUUAUAGAAAAUUCAAGUCAUUAGGACAACUGAAAUUGGCUUAUAGCAAACCAAAUUUAGUACACACUUUAGACUCUAGUAUGAAAAAAUAAUUUACUAAUGCAAUGAAUUCUAAGAGUGUAUAAGAAAACAUCUAUAUGCCUCGAGAAAAGAUAAUUAUAAGUGCGUAGCCGAAAAAGAGAAAAAUGGCCCAGGCAGGGAGAGGGAAAGUUACAGUAGAACUAGUUAUUAUAUUCAUAGAAUUACCUUGUAGAAACAACUAGUUCCAAAAGGGCAGUUUCCUUCCCCAAAGUCAAAGUGCUUGCAAUCAAUUGACCUACAAAUGGAUUAAACAGAAUAUCAGAAAAAGAGAUAGUCAUUCACUAUUUCACUCAGCUGAGCCUUUUUUUUUUCCUUGUGAAAUAUAUGCUAUAUGGCUUGGCAUCAGCUGUGCUGGUCAAUAUAGAGAAGGGGGAAAGGAAAUGGAUCAUCCCUCAUCAACUAAGCAGCAUAUAAUGGUGACCCAAAGUUACAACUCUCCGCGCUUUAGUUGUGAUUAAAUCAUGGAUUAAUUGGAUAGGAAAAACAAAAGAAGUUAUAAGAUUUUGUAAGUGAUCAAGAAAUUACUUGAGCUUUGCCUUGUAGUUGUUAAUGAUUUCUUGUUUUUCUUCAGUUGUUGAGUACCAAAUGACACUUGGAAUGACAAAGUACGACAGCUUACGACAAAUAGGACAUGCCCUCAAUGUGCUAUUAACAUCCAUCCCCAAUGUUGGGUUACUACUACGCCAAUUCCUAAUACAGGAUAUGCAGAAUGGAUGAUCACAUUCUGAUAGCAGCCCAAACUUACAUUCAGCUGCUGUAGGCUUUGACAGAACAUGCUCCAGGCAAACACUGCAUUCAAUUUCUUGACUUUGUUUCAAUGCCUCAAGAUGCUUACGCUUAUUUUCGCAAGUCUUCAUAUGUUCUUCUCUUUCCUCAGGUCGGAAAGGAUGCAAGCAAUGUUUUCCACAGGUGGGACAUAGAUCCCCAUGAAUAUGAGGGCAUUUUUCGCCUCGUGGACAGUUUCCAGCUCCAGCAAAUGAACAAAUUGAAAGCUCAGAAGGUGAAGUGAUUAUUGAUUGACCAACAUUGUCUUCCCAUAAAGGUUCAUGAUACCCAAAUUCUUGAUUCCAAACCAGUUCUCGAUUCCAAGCCGGUUCACUAGGAAGAAGGUAAGGACUACUGGAAAGAGAAAACUCUGCCCCUGUAGCAACACCAUUUGAUGCAGCUCUAGUAUUUCCAAAAGCAACAGUAUCUGAAACCAGGGUCUGGGGUUCGAUUACUGAAGAAGAUGGAGCAGAAGAUUGCUCUCGAGAAGCUUUGACAUGAUCAUAUCUGCAGCGACUACCAUAAGCACAGACUCCUUUCUGAUAAAAUGUGCAUACCUGUCAUAAUGAGAAGAACAAGAAAAAAUUAUCAGAGAAACGUAAAUAUCUAUCAAUUAGUAGGGUCUGCAGCAAAGAAGAGUUUGCAUCACAAACAUUAUUUGGAGGAUCUUUCCAGUCAUGAGAAAAUUCACAAUGCUCCCCUUUCAGACAAGCUCCAUGAGCAAAGAACUUGCAAAGAAACCUACAUGAUUUCGGAAGAUAAGAAAUUACAAAAAUUAAAAUAAUCUUCAAGUUGCAUAAGAAAUUAGAGAACAAAUUAACAGAGAAAGAAAAGGUCCACACAACACUUGUCCUAAGUAUCAAAAACCAAGGUCCCCAAUUAAAACCUUUUAUCCAUAUUUCCACAAACCAAAACAAAUGGAUCAAUUCAAAUGAUUUCAUAGUUAUAUCACGUCAAGUGUCAAGUACAAUCCACAAACAAGAUAUCAAUGCCAAAUUUCGCUCUUCUACCUACUACAGAAUUCAACAUUGUUAUAACCUCCAGGAAUGGUUUAUUGCCUGUCAUGACCAUAGAAGUCUCUGGGAAGAAUGAUACGUUAAAAAUCAUAACCUGAUUGAGUUUCCACUAACAAAAGCUAUCUAAAUCAAAUAAAGAUUUUCCAAAUUCGAUAACAAAAGGGGCAAAAAAAAGGUAGUAACUUUCAACCCUUUUUCUUUUGAAUUCUGCUCAAUGAAUGUCACACCCCAGAUGGAAAACAAAAACAAUCUUUUCUCGGUUCAAAGAAAGCCGGAUUAUAAGAACAAUAAAUAACAGAAACAUAUAAAUAAAAAAGUCAAUAAUCAACAGAAAUUGGAGAAACUGCAGAACACAAGACAGAAAACCUACAUCAAGAAAAUGUUAAUAAUCCAAUACAAAACACAAGAUGAUCAACCUCACCUCUUAGACAUGGGCGGUUAUUGAAAAAAAGAAAGAAAUAUCCUUUAAUUAGGAGAGAGCCGCGAGGACCAAAACCCUAAACCUCCAAAGGGAUUAUUGGUUGAAGAAAGAGGUGAACAAAAAAAGUGGGGGCAGCCAAAAAAGUGAAGGAGGUAACACGUGGGGUUUUGCAGCCACUCAAAUUGAGAAAAGAUUGAGAGAGCUUGAGAGAAACGGUGAUAUUUGGGGGCAAUGAGACAAAAAAUAAUGGAAAUAUUACGAAAUAUGGAAAUUGGAUUUGGAUGGUGGUAAAAAAUAUAGGAAAGAAACUGUGUGAGAACACAAUGUUACAUUACAGCUUCGUGUCCAAAAAGUCUUGUCCGGUUCAUGACUUUCUGUAUCACGUGUACGUGGGUUUUGCUUUGUCAUGUCAUCACGUGUCCUCAAUCCGUUGGUUGAAUCUGAAUUCACUUCAUACGUGAGUGGAUAGAGAGAUUAGGGUUAGCCAAAUUCAAUGGAAAUGCCUCAAUUUUUACAUAUAUAUUGAAGUUGGAGAAGAUUUGGGUUUGUUUUUUACAUUUUACAUGAUGCAUUCCUGGAGACAAACGAAAACGAAAAUUUUUAAACAUGUCUGAAAAAAUAGAAACUUAAACAACAACAAAAAGUAGAAACUGAUUGUCAGUUUUUAUUUUUUUGGGUUUAAUGUGUUCUCUCAUUGUAUAACCAUAGAAAAUAAUUUAUUCAACUUUGGUAUAUGGCCAUUAAUUGGAUCGGAUAUCUCAUCCAUCGGUAGAAGUUGUUUGUUCAAUCCAGUCGAAAAUCUGACUGCAAAAGCAACAUGUGUACCAAACUAAACAUGCAUAGAAAGGCAAAGGUCUAUACUGUAAUAUCGAUUUGUUUUUUAAUAUGUCUAUCAUCAUUACACUUACACUUGCACUCUAUUCAAUUAACUAAACUAAAUUUCCUUGUUAAACAACAUACAUUUGUAAUUCUUGCUUUGAACUCAUUGAAAAGAAGAAACAAAUAAAAUAACUAAUUUCUUCUUUGAGAAAAUAUAUUUUUUUAAUUACAAAAUUCAUAUAGUAUGUUUAGAUUUAGCCAAAAGAAAAUAUUAUUUUUAUAGGAAAAACAAAUUUAUCAAUAAAAAAAUAAGCAAUAAAAGCACCACGAUUGCUGUAAAGGUGUACGAAAAGAUCAAUGAGCAAAUAGAUAAACAUCUUGCUCCAAUAGAAAGUAACGCAUGAAAAGCCGAAUAUCUAUUUUCUAUUAGAACCCAUUACAAAGUUUCAAGAACUUGUACCUUACUUUUGUAUCCACCUCAGAAUAAAACACCAAAACCUUCUCAAACUAUAUUUGAUGAAUUGAACAAACGACCCUCACAAACUAUAUCAGAACAAAACAUAACACAGACUUGACUUCAUUAUAAAGACCUCAUUCAAUCCAUCCUUCACUCUACGAGCUUCAACUGAACAAAACAAAUUAACUGUAAACAAAAACACUGAUCCCUAUUAACCUUAUGUAAUGUAUCCUGUAAACAUAAUAAAAUUUGUGUUUGAAAAAGAUAUUGUUGACUGGUUUCACAAUUCAUGACAUGUGAUCUUAAAAAGCUACAGUACCAAUUUCUGUCAUUAAUUCCCCAUGCCCACCAGAUGUUUGAAAUAUUAAACUCCAAAUAUUCUUGCAGCAACCACACCAGACCCAUACUGAAGGAUAUUAGUAUAACCUGUGCACCUUGUUUUGUUUGCCUACUACUCCAAAAGCUAUUCAUUUCGUGCUUUUUAUUACACUGACAAUUCAGUUUAAGAAUAUUUGUUAGUAUAUAAUUUUUGUUCAAAAAUAAAGAACUGUUAAGAUCAAAUGAAUGAGAGCAAUCCUGCAUACCAAUUGUGCAUAUCAGAUAAAAAGAGAUGUCCCUAAUAACAUGACUUAAACCAUUUCCCAGCUUCAUUUUCCAAAAAUAUCUCCAAAUACUUACAAGACCCUCAUCCAUGACUUUGGUAAUGUAUUUUUUUAUAGACAAAAAUGUUAUUAUUACUAAACUCAGCAUGUUUUCAUACCAAAAAAUGGGUACAAUGAAUGUAGAAUCUGACUCAAAUAUAUUAUAAUGAAAACAUGUGAGUGAGAUCAUAUAACAUGCCAAUGCCACCAACUCCUACAGCUUAUAUUCAAAUAAAAAUUCUACCACUACACCAUUCAGUAGCUAUCAAUGUUGUCAAUAGAAGAUUGCGGAAAAUUGCAGAAAGCUGAAAAUCAGCUAUAGAAUAUAGCAGAUAACAUUGCUGUCAAACAGCGGAAGCUGCAUUGCGGUUGAAAUAGAAUAUAUAUAACAAUUAAAUAUGUAUAAACCAGCAUGCUAUAUGCAAAUCAAAAUAAGCUGGACAAAACAUUAACAUAAUAUUAUCUCAAAAGUUAAAUUGUUCAAGACAAAAUAUGUUCAUUCUCCUCUGCCCCUUUCCCAAUAUAAUAAAAAAAACUAAAAACAGCUAAAAGCUAACUUCUUCUGAGUCCCCAAAAUCAAUGCCUUGUAACUCUUCAGAUUCUUCCAAGACUGCAUUAUCUUCAACUUUAAUCAUUUGCUCUUUUCCUCUAAGGGAUGAAGAUCCUCUCACUUGGCCUCUUUUUGUCUUAGGUGUAGCAUCUUCAACACCAAGGGAUUCUGGUUCCUUUUUCUUUUUAGUCUUUUGCCUGGUAUACGUCAUUGGCUGUCUAUUCCUCAAAAACUACGUCCCAAGGAAGGCCAUCAUCAUUUUCGUCAUCACCAUCCAUUUGCCCCACAAGCCACUUGUGAAUAUCAAUAUCAUUGAGUGAAAUUGGAUCAAUUUCAUCUCUAUAAUUGUAUCUUUUAACCAAUGCUUGAUUACAUUCGACAUACACCAAGUUGUGUAGUCUUUUGUGUUCAUGCCUAUUCCUUUUCUUGGAAUGAAUAUGUAACAAAUAUGAGAAAAAAAAAUUAUGAGCAACUAAGAAAAGAAAAUAUUAACUAGUAACUAUUAAUAUAAUUACUAAUUAAUAAAGCUCAAAGAAACUCCAAUUGCAUUCACAUCCCGACGCACUACAUGUCAAAAUCAAAAUCUUAAUUGCCAAGUGUUGCAAAUUUGGAGUUGACAAUCCAUAUGAUAGCCACCAUUGCGCUACAAAAGUUAAAUCCAAAGAAAUGUCAUGCUAAAAUAAUAAAUGUAACACUCUAAAAUUCUAAGGAAUUAAGAAAACUUUUUUUUUUCACCUGGUGAGACAAUGCUCCUUUGUUGAAUAGCAAAUUUUGCUCCAAACAUACCACCACCCAUUUUAUAAAUGGUAGCUCUGUAAGAAUCUUUUGUCUCACCUCUUGAUCAGGCACCAAUUUUUCAAGGCAUACAUACAAUCCAUUUACCACCUCAAAAUCAAAUUCCAUAGAAUGAUUGCUGAAGAAUAAAUCUGGGUUUAGAAAGUGACCAGCUGCAUGCAAGGGGUGAUGAAGUUGGCAAGUCCACCUACUGUCAAUAAUUUCAAACACUUCUUUAUACUUGCUUUCAUUAUAUUCAAAUGACUUCCUUAUAGCUUCUUUUGCCUUCUCCAUUGCCUCAUAAAUAUAACCCAUGGCUGGUUUUUUUCUCACUGUCAACAAGAUGCGGCACCUUCACAAGUGGAGCCAUCACCUUAAGUAUAUAGAGCACAUUAUUCCAAAAAGCUGACAUAAGUACAGUUUUCGUUGCUUCCUUCCCUUUGGCUUCCUUGGACAAUUUAUUAUUUGUCCAAUCAUCUGAUACAAACAUCUUUCUAAGAUUGCCUUUCUCCUUAUGGAGCCUUUCUAAUGUGAGGAAGGAUGUAGCAAACCUAGUAAUGCAUGCCUCACCAAUUCUCUUUUGUUGGUGAAGAACCUCAACAAGCUCAAAGUACUUGAAUGGCUAUAGAUGAAGCCAACAAGGGAUAUUGCUCUUAGAAUUGUCUUCUUUAUCAAUGGCAACUUACCAAUGUCUUCCAACAUCAAAUCUAUGCAAUGGGCUGCACAAGGAAUCCAAUAUAAAUGUGACCUUUUUCGUUCAAGAAAUUUACCUGCCAAAACAUAGUUGCUUCCAUUGCCUGUUAUAACUUGGACAACCUUUUCCUCCCCAAUCUCUUCCACAAUAGAGUCCAACAACUCAAAUGUCUUUUCACCAGAUUUCACAAAAUUGGAUGGAUCAAUUGAUUUAUAGAACAUUGUCCCUGCUGUACAAUUCACCAAGAAGUUAAUGAUAGAUCUCUGUUUUCUGUCUGUCCAUACAUCAGACAUAAUUGAGCAUCCAAAUCUUCCCCAUAGCUCCUUUUGGUCUUUCAACAAAAUUUCUGUGUUCUCUAACUCCUUGGCCAGAAGUGGAACUCUUAUCUCAUGAUAAGAAGGAGGCCUCAAAUUUGGUCCAAAGGCUCCCACAUUUGUAAGCAUUUUGUGAAAGCUUUGCAGCUUGACUAGGUUGAAAGACAAGCCAGCUUGGUACCAAAAUCGAGCUAUGUAUUGAUGAACCCUUGCAGUAGCCUCCUUGUCACAUGACUGCCUUAUGCUUUCUUGCCUUAAUUUCUCUUUUUUCUUUUAUUCAAUUGCAGAUUCUGGAUUUCUGAAAAAAGAUCAAUUGAACCCUUUUAAGUGCUUUUCUUUACAGUAAUGCUUUUCCUUGAUACAAUAUUUGCAAACCCUUCAUCAAGAGCUCUUUCUUCAUCACUAUCACCAUAGUCUUCAAGAAAAUGUUGACGCAUCCUUUGAAAUGUUUCACUCUCUUGCUUCUUUGUAUCCUUCAAAUAUCCCCAUAGUUCUUCUCUAACUUCUUUGGGACAUUUGGCAUAGGCUGCAACAUUGCCAGGCUUUGCCAUCAAGUGUUCUUUUGCUCUAGUAAUUCCACCUUUUGUAACCUUGCCACAGAAAUUGCAUACACAACUAUUUCCUUGUCCUCGAGUACAAUAUUUCCAUCCAGAAUCAGUGCUAGAAGGAUUUGAUGAUCCCUCAUUUGCCAUACUGUGAUUUAAAAAAAAAAAAUAGAAUAAUAAGAAAGGUCGGGUAUAAAACAUAUGACAUGGACGAAGAAGGCGGAGUAUUAAACAAAAGAAAGAAAAAAAAUUGUUACUGUAAAAAAACAAAGGCACUGGACAAAGAAGGCUGGAAAGUUUUGGUAGGGAAGGGUUUACGUGGUGACUAAGAAUCAAAGGAGGGAAGGGUUGAAGGGUUUACAUUGUGAUUAAGAAUCAGAGGAGGAAAGGGUUUACGUGGUGACUAUAGAAUGAUCCUGAAAACUGAAAAGUUGCAUGAAGUAGAAGUGGAAAUGCUAAGAGGUUCUAGAAUGGUCUGGAAAACUGAAAAGUUGCAUGAAGUAGAAGUCAAAAUGCUACUGUUGGGCCUAUUAGAAGAAAACCCAAGUCCAUAAGUAAAAAUAAAAAUAGAGUAAAAACAAAAAAUUUGACUCUGAUGUUUUAAAAACCAAUAGAGUAAAAUUUUAAAAACCCACGUGACUACUGCACGUGAGUUUUAACAAAGCCAAAAACCUUGUCCACAAGCCCUAAACAACUCUGAAGACGCAACCCGAUCUGCAGUCCGCUCCUGACCCAGUUUACUUUCUUUCAGAAUGAUGAAUCAAUGAAAGCCUAAAUGCCGUCAAUGCAAUUUCUCUCUAGAUUCAACCUUGCCAGAAACGGACGAUGAUAUCCACCCUUUAAGAACAUUGUUAAUCUAGCACAAUGGCAAACCCUGUAAAAAAAAUGGUGCAAAAAGUAGUUUAUGGCCUCCAAUGUCAAUUUUUUUUAUUGGACUAAGUUAAAGUUUGCGAAAAUAGAUAUUAUUUCUGGCUUUCUAAUCUCAGCAAUCAUGGCCUUAUUCAGUGGAAACUAACCAAUCUCUUUGUGUCAUAACACAGUCCAUUUUACAUUAAAAUUGGAGUAGUAUAAUAUAUGUGGAUGUUAAAUAUAAUUAUAUAUGAUAAUGCAUGUUAGCUUAUUCAUGCCAACAAUAACAUAGUAUGAAAUGAGAGGAAAUGCAAUAUCUUUAAUUAUUGAACAAAUUUCUUAAAUGAUGUGCGGCAUAUGAUGUUUAGCUAGGGAUCACUAUUGGCACUGGCUUGAAAAACUGAGCUCAAGAUCAACUUUGUACUAUCCUAAUAUCCAUGAAAUCAGUCUUCAAAGGUAAAAACAUUGGGUGGUUGCUCUCUGUCGUGGAAGUCAAACUAAUUAAUCUCUGUAUAAGAAAUUACUCAUGUCACUCUCAGCAAUGUUAAAGAAAGGUACGACUCAAUAAUUGCAUGAUGAGUGCUAUGUUUCACCCCUUUAAAUAUGUUGCAGAGAACUUGUAGUAGAAUAAAAGGAGUUAAAAUCAAAAUAUCAUGUCAGCACCAUAAAGGUCUUACUACACAAUCUCAUACACUACCAAGAUAGAGUGAUGGAUCUCAGUAGAGAAAAGGAGAAACAAUAAUACAAUAUUAAUAUUAAUCAAUAACAAAUGUACCUAUAAGCUAACAUAUGACAGAUAUGAAACGGGACUAUACUGUCAAACAUCAUGAUAAACUUAUAAAUAAAAAAGAGAUUUACCACUGAUCUGGCAAGUCAGACCAAAAUUGUAUCACUAGGAAUCAUGAGUGCUACGAUCAGCAAAUGCCAUGGUUAGAAAGGCUGGGAGCAGCAUGCUUUAGCCUAAGUGACUCAUCUGAAAUAAAUUAAAUAUACAAAUUGUAAGGACUAAAAAAACUUAAGAGGCAUAACUGAACAUUGCAUAUUUGGGAUGCCGUACAAAGAAUAAGAGAUGACUGUCGAUAAGGUUUAAGAGGUUCAAAGACAAGCCUACUGUUGAGCCACAUAAAUUUAAAGUACAAGAAAAAGCUAAAUGUGUUUAUUCAGAACUCCUUUUGAAUUGAAUUGAUACACUUUCUGCUUUUUUGCCUGGUAAUUAAUUGAUCAUAAAUUUCAAGAACAAAAAAAUAGAGAAAAUAUCAUUGCAUAUUUGGGAUUCUUCUAAGAGGUGUCAUAAACUAAUUUUAUUCCAUAAACUUAAUACAAUGCAAUAUUAUCCUCUAUGCUGAAAUUGAAGUUUCUAGUGAUGUACCAACAUUUACGAAAACUUAAUAAAUGAUUUAAUUGAGCCUGAAAUUGAAAUUAAUUCAAUGCAUAGGAUCAUAUAUCUUAUGAAUAUAUAUAAAAUCUUUGUAUAUACAGAUAGGAAAUAAAAAAGUAACUCAACUAAUGGAGGAGGAAGAUUUUGCAUUUGUUGUAAUAGCUCCAGAUACUUAUUAAGUGGUAGAUAGGAAAUAAAAAAGUAGCUCAUACUUAUUAAGUAGUCUUACAGUCCUAAUAUACACAAAGUGAUUAUGUCAGUGAAAUUUUAUAAUGAUGCACAGAGCUGAAGCCAUAUCUCACAAGGAAGAUAUUUGAACUCACAUAACUCUUAAAAGGAAGCUAAGACAACAUACCUUCUAGACUGGGAAGAUAUUCAAAAAACUGCAACAUCUAGCAGUUAUAUUAAUGAAAAAAUGGAUGUCCAGCAAAAAUAAGAAAAAGAAAGAAGUGAAGUUCAAUAAUGAUUUUUUCUUCUUGUGAUAAUGUAACUCUCUUGAAAUCAGGCCUUGAGCAAUUGAUCCACUUAAGGCUCCAUCUCUUAUCACACCUGUGCAAACCUGACAAUAAUUAGACUCAGCCAACUGAGCUGAGCACCAACAACAUUGAGAAAAAGUGAUAGUAAGUAACAAUGGGUGUUUAAUUAGUUCAUAGAGCUUCUAACUUCUGAAACAAAAAAAAGGAAAAAAAACUUCAAUAAUAUAUACAUAACACAAGAUGAAGAACCCAAAGGAGGAGAUUGUAGAAAGCAUAACAUAAAAUGAAAGGAACCGAUUGCACUUACCCAUGACUACUUACUGCUGCUGGAAACCUUUCUGAUUCCUAAAAUAAAAAAACAUCAAGAAACUUUGACAUUAGAAUCACAAAAGUGAAAAUGAAAAGAAGAAAAAGAUGGACGAGAAUCACCACAUACGCACAGCUUCUUGUUGGACAAAACCCUUUUGAUUUCUCAAAUGAAAAACAUCAAGAAAUCCAUUAAACAAAAAUGAGGGAAAUUAAAAACAAAUAUGAAAUACCUGUAACAAUAAGAAAGGUGAAAGUGAAAAAAAGGAUGAGAAAACUUACCAAUGGUACCGAUGCAGUGGUGAAGGAACUCACUGUUCAGCGGCAGCGGCAGUGAAGGACGUCACUACUCAGUGGAGACGAUGGUGAAGGAAGUCGCUGUUGAGCGGCGACGACAGUGUUUGGUCCGCCAAGUUACUCAUUGGUGAAGGCGAUUUUGGGGAAGGAGAACAGAUCGGGGUCGCGAUACAGCCACAAGAGAAGGAUGGCUGCUGGUUUUCAAUUUUUUUUACGAAAAUUGUGUCCAUGCUCAAUAAAAAAUGCAGAAGAAAAUGGUGGAAGAGGGUCAAGGAGUGGAAAGGGAAAGGUGAAGAAGAAUGUUGGGAAGAAGAUGCAAGAAAGGAAAUACAAUGAUGCGACUUUAGAGAAAGAAGCAUCUCUUUCUAUUUUUUUGCAGUCUAGAAGCUUCUGCUUCUUCCGUUUUUAAAAGAAAAAGAAAUAUAUGUCGUGGCCGAAGGCAAUAGGAUGCUUUGUUGCAGGAGAAGUCGACACAUGUCCCAGGCCAACUUUGUUUUAAUAACAGGAAAUAGAUUCAAGAUCAUCCUUGGAGUUUUCCUAUCAAUUUUUGCUAACUCGGGCUAUCAAGAUGCAUGAUUUUUUUCGCAUGAGAAAAUAAAAAAAGAUGCAUCCUUAAUCCAUUAUUUUAUCUGUGAAGAAAAGCGUAUUGGUACUAUUGCAGAUAUUUUGGAACUUAGUAAAUACAUUCGGGUAUGAUUUUUAUUUUUAUUGGAUUCCAAGUAAAGGAAAAAGAAAAGAUCCCACAUGUGUGGCAUGGGGAAGAGACUGGACCAUCCUGUGUUUUAGAUGAAAGACCCCCCUGCUUUUUCGUAAUCAAUUUUAAGAGUUAGCUUUAAAUAAAUGGUAUUUUACAUAUUAAAAAAAGCAAAAGAAAAGUGGAAAUCAUACUAAACUCAUAAAACUAAGCAAUCUUUUUCAAUAUUAUUUAACUAUGGCUCAUCCGAACAACCAAAAAACAAAUUCAAAAAAAAAAAAGACUAGUGCAUAUGCUGACAACACCAAGAAUAACAAGCCAUAUAUUUAUACAUAGCACAAUCACAAUUCAAAACCUGCAAUGAGACAAGACCAAGCCAAAACUCUUCUUUAAUAGCAUGAUAUUAGAAAAUAUACAAAAUGGAAUCAGAUCACGAACACCGGGUAUAAGCAUGGCAUGAGUAUAAGCAAAAUAAACUAGAAUAAAUCUUGAAGUUCCUGCCCCAAUAAUUGUCAAAGCAAAAUGAUAGGAUACCAUACUGCCAAAGAAACUACCUCAAUAACUGGUUUAUAGACGGGAUUUAUAUGAACUAAGAAAAUCUAGUAGUCUUCAUCACUGUAUUCUUCUUCCUCAUCAUCAUCUUCAUCUUCCAUAUUAGAAUGCAUCAUCAUUGGUAACAAGGCAGCCUCCAUAGGAUUGAAAUCUUCAUUACCAAUAUCUUCGGGACCAAAAUCAUCCACACCAGAAGCAAGCGCUUCCGACAAUGCAGCCAUCUGAAAAAUAUCCAAGUCCUCCUCAUCAGAAUCAAAAAGACCUAAACAAGGACCUGAGUCACCAGCAAGCCUAUGAGAUAUAUCCAUCAUCUCAAAUGGAUCCAUAUCAUCAAAAAAGUCUGAACCCCUCAUGAUGGAAAAAUAUUCUGCACUUGUUAAGUCAACAUCUUGGAGCAUGUCCAACAUGUCAUACAUAUCAAAAUGGUUCUGUCUACACUGAGGUGGUGGCCUGUGAUGUAUCCAUGUGUAAGAGCCAGGCUUCACUGUAUGCUGAAAUCAACAGAUAUCAGAAUUAUUUAAGGUCAAAGGAGAAACAAAUUGAGGCUAACUCAGAUUAAAAAGAAGUCUUUCAAAAAAUAAUCACAACUCCCUCUAUUAUAUCAUUUAGUCCAUGUCUCCCAUCAAGUUUGAAACAAGAUAACCACUGAACCACCACCACUAAAAUUUUAGAAACAAGGGAACUUCCUGAAUCAAAUGAAACAAACCACAGCCAGAUCCAGUAUGGCUCCAAAUCAUAGUUCAUUAUCUCUUCAAUUAUAUUUUUAUUAAUUAUAAAUAUAAUAAAAGAUAAUACAUAAUACAAAUUGUAGUACACUAACACAACAAAGUAGUUCAUAUGCUAGUACCUAAUACAGUAAUACCUAAUAUCAAAACCCAAAAAUUCUAAAAACCAAACACUGGAACUUCUGGAACUGACCAAAACCAAAAAAACCCAGUUGUAGUAAUUUUACUCAUUCUCAGUUGGUGGUUCAGAGAACUCGCAUUUAGUAUCGGGAUCAACACUGAGUAGUUUCUUGUACCUUUUAGUACCCCUGGUACUCAAUUAAUAUACAUAUUAUAUUUGCUGAUAAAAAAAAAGGUCUGGAAUUGAUAUUUCCCAAAAAACUGUGCUCUUGAUAUUCUUGAAGAAAUUGGAAUGGUGAAUUGUAAACUAGUAGAAAACCCCAUAUAACAAGAUGUUAAGCUUCUUCUUGACCAAGGAGAAUUAUUUUCUGACCCAAGUAGAUAUUGGAGAUUGGAAGAAAGCUUGACUUAUCCAAUUGUAACAAGACCAGACAUCUCUUUUGUUGUCUGUGUGGUGAGUGAAUUCCUUAAUUCUCCCAGAGUUGACCAUUAGAAUGCAGUUGUCAGAUAUUUGAUAUUUCUUGAAGGAUCAUGAGUAAAAGGAUGGAUUGUUGUUUGAGAACAGAAGGCAUAAGGAGAUUAUUGUCUAUACUUAUGCAGGCAAGGUUGAGUCUCCUAAUAGGAGAUCCACCUUUGGAUAUUGUGUUCUAUUUUGAGGGAAUCUCAUUUCAUGGAAAGAAAAAAAAAAACAUGAAACAAAAUGUGGUUGCAAGGUCCAAAGCUGAAGCAGAAAAUCAAGCUAUGACUCUCACAACUUGUGAACUAAUGUCUAAAACAAAUAGACUAAUCACUGAAGAGCUAAAAUUGUGAGGUUGGAACUGAGACUAAUUUGGUUUAAUCACGCAGCUCCUCAUAUUACAUCUAACCCAGUUUUUCAUGAGCGUACCAAACAUAUAGAGAUCGAUUGCCUUUUUAUUUCUAAGAAGACAGUCUCUAGAGAAAUCAGCACAUCUUUUGCUAACUUCAAAUGAUUAAUUGGUUUAUCUGCUCACUAAAGUUCUUCAAGGACCAAUGAUUUCUUAUAUCUGUGACAAGAUAGAUGCUUUUGAUCUCAACGCUCAAGCUUGAGUAGGAGUGUUGGAAAUAGAAUAUAAAUAAUGCUUCCCUUUUCAUGUAUCAUUAGAAUUUAUUGUAUCUUAGGAGUUAAAGCUAUAGUUUUAAUUUCUCUUCUAGUAAAUUGUACUCAUCAUGUAUAUAAACAGAUGCUUUGCUGGGUUACUAACACUUGAGCAUUAGCAUUCAGAAAUUCCUAUCUCAUUUUUCUCAAGCUCUCAAAUAAGAUAAAUAUGAAAACAAUAUUUGUGCUAGAUAAGACAAAACAAUGUUGUAGAUUUUUUAACCAAGAUGGAUAGUGAGCCCACAAAUAUGAUUAUAUAAAAUCAAAUUCAACAACUGAUUCAAGGCUUUAGGGAAGACAUAAGAGCCAUGCAACCUAAUAAAUAUACUUUAAGUGAAAGGAGAAGCAUGGCGGAGUGCAAUUCAUUGCUCCAAAAAAUGAUGCUACUCAAAUUAGUUAACAACAAUGGUAAUCAAAUUUGACCAAGAAAAAUAUUAAAGCAGGCAAGAGACAAGAGAUGGUAACUUGGAUACCUUGUAGAAGCAACUAGCCCCGAAUGGACAAUUCCCAUUUCCAAAGUUAAAAUGCUUGCAAUCAAUUAAUCUAAAAAGAAAAGCAAAAAUAGGUAAGUUCAAGUUUCAAAUAUUAACACAAAUUGGCCCUGUUCUCAUUAAUAAUCAGAUUGUUGUCACCCAAAUAACUAUACUCUGCAUAAACUGCGCUCAUCAAUAGGAACAUGCGAAGAGUGAACACGUCAACAUCACAAGAUAUCAGGAUACUGUGCGUGCACACAUUUCUGUGUAGCUUGGGAGAGUUUGAUUGUUGUGUGGUGUUAAGGGGAUUGGGAGUAGGAGUGGGCAUAUAGAGAUGAGGAAAGGAGGGAAUUUUUUCCCAACUAACCACCCUCCAAAGCAUCUUUGAUUAAUUAACCAUAGCUCAAAAGGUUACCAGUAACCAAAAAACAAAUCAAUUUCUGGAAAUUGAAGGGGAAGUUGAGUAGAGAAAAUUUACUUGCAGUUUGCCUUGUAGUUGUUGAUAAUUUCCUGUUUUUCUUCCUUAGUAGAAUACCAAAUACCACUUGGAAUGACAAAAUAUGAUAGUUUGCGACAAACAGGACAGGUUCUGACUGUAUUAGCAGUGCCAGCAUUACCGAUGUCCAUUCCAGAUGUUGGGGCAGCACUAUUACGCCAAUUGCGGAUACAGGAUAAACAGAAAGCAUGGUCACAUUCAGGAAGCAGCCCAAACUUACAAUCAGCUGGUUUAGGUUUGGACAGAACACGUUCCAAACAAACAUUGCACUCUACUUCUUGACUAUCUUCCAAAGCCUUAAGGUAUUUUCCCUUUUUCUCACAAGUCCUCAAAUGAUUUUCUUUUUCCUUCCAAUCAGAAGGAUGUAAGCAAAAUUUUCUACAGUAUAAGCACUGAUUUCCAUGAAUGCGAGAACAUUUAUCUUCAAGGGGGCAGUUGGCAGCAGCAAAUGCACAAAACAAAUGUUCAGAUGGUAUAGCACUACUAGUACUGGAUUGACCAACAUCAUUUCCAAGAGAGGCUGGAUUCUUUUUUUGCGAGCUCCUUGCACGCUUGUCCGAUGAAGAUGACUUCACAGCCUUCAGAACCCAACUUGAUGUUCCUUUAGUGAUAUGAUUCACCACAGGAUCCAAAACAGGAGAAUGGCGUCCAUUUGCUGAAGAUGACGGUUGGGAAGCUUUGACAUGCUUAUAUCUGCAUCUACUACCAUAUGCACAGAAUCCUUUCUGAUAAUAGCUGCAAAUCUGUUCUCCACAUAAGAAACAAAAGUAGGAAAGUAAACAAAAAAGAUCCAUUGGGGGUAAACACAGUACGCAAAAACCAGAAUUAGAGUUACAACUUACAUCAUCCUUUUUCUCAUGAGCAAAAUCACAUUGAUCCCCCUUCAAACAUGCUCCACGGGCAUAGAACUUGCAAAACCUAAGACAAUUCAUUAAUUUCAAAUAAGUUACAAAAUAAUAAAUUAAUCAAGAUAAAGUCUACAAAAAUUCAAUAAAUAAGUAAACCCCUAAAUAAAUUAUUAAUUAAUAAAUCAAGAGUGUACAAAAAUUCAAUAGAAAAAUUAAAAACAUACACAGGGAGUGCAUACAUCAAACUAAUCAAAAUCCCCAUGCUCACUAAUAUUCAAGAAUUCCAAUUUCUAACACAAUUUUCAAGUCACGUCAAAUGAACCAUUACCAUAACAAAAAAAACAACUAAACUUCAAAUUCAAAAUUCACCUUGUAUAACGAUCCCAAACCCAACUUUACAGAAAAUUGAUCACAUUUUGUGUUUUAACAAAACAAACAUUUCCAAUCAGUAAAACGAGAAAAGAAAAAGAAAAAAAAAAAGUGGCACAAGAAUAUGGCCUGUAUGAUCCAUCACACAGGCGCCCCAACACACAAAAGAGUAACAAAAUGUUCAUCAUCUCACCACACCAAAGAACAACGGCAAACAACAAAAAAGAACCCUUCUUUUUUCUUUAUUUUAUCUUUAUCUGUUUCCUCACCAAAACAUACGAAGCAGCCAAAAAAACGCAAAAUCGAAAAGAGGGUCAUAGGAUAAAUAAAAGAGAUCGAAGCGAGAAUUGGUGGAAAGGGAAAAAAAAUGAGUACCUGUUGGACAUGGUGGGGUGAUGGAGUAAGAAUUGAGGAAUUCUUAGGAGUGAGAAGAGAAGAGAAAGGGACAAAGAUAUGAAGGUGGAAACCUAGGUCAGGUGCGACCCAUUUGUUUGAAAUUGAAACCGGGUACGAGGGUUUUUUGGCGGUGUGUCGGGGUCCGUUAAAUUACAAUUGCGAACGUAAAGCCAGCUCAUCCACCACACUCUCUCUCCACUUACGCAAAAAACGUGUUUUGGAGAUGUUAGCGUAUCAUAUAAAUAAAUAAAUAAAUCAGUAUUUUUACUAAUUAAUUUUUCAUUGUAAUAAUUUUACGCGGUUAAUUAUUUGAUUAAAAGUUGGUUCAGAUAUGACUCUUCAGGAUCCGGGUUUUCUAAAAUGAGAAAUUUAUUUUGAAGAAUGAAGUAAAUAAUCUUAAUCAUUAAGUUUUUUUACUGAUUGAAAAUAUGGAUCAUAUACGAUUGUUAAUAUAAUUAUCAAUAUUCCAAUAAUAGUUGAAGAACAUCAAUAUAUUAAUAUGAAUAACAAAUUCUAAAUGUAUUGGAAUAUUAAUAAUUAUUUUUUCCAUCUAGAAUUGAUAUUAUAUACUUACUUUGACUUUGUUUACUUUGUAAGUCAAAUUCGAUUUUUUAUAGUGGCUAUAAUAGAAAUACAAAAAACUUGUACAUUAUGACAAUAGGAUUGGAAUUAAGUUGAGUCAAAUUGUAUUUAAUUAAACUUCUCUUGAUAAGAAUUUGUUUAUUUUGUAAUUUGAUUUAAAUUUAAUAUGAACCUUUUUGCUUAGUUCUAAUUCAAUUAGAUUCAAAUUUGUGAAUAGUUGGGUUGAACUUAUUAACUCAAUUUGAUUUAAAUUUUUUUUAUUAUGUUAGAGAUUUUAUUUAUAUAUUUUUUCCAUACGAAAAAUAAUAUGAAAUUAAUUAAAUAAUUAAUCAUAUGAAUUUAAUAUAUAUAUAUAUAUAUAUAUAUAUAUAUAUAUAUAUAUAUAUAUAUAUAUAUAUAUAUAUAUAUAUAUAUAUAUAUAUAUAUCAAGUUGGUUCAUGAAUUUUCAAAAUUCAACUUGAUUUUCAAAUAUUUUAAAACUAAAAAAGGAAAACCACCUGAACGGAGCCUAAAUCUAAAACAGUUUUGGUAAUUAAUUUCUCAAAAAUUGAAUACGUAAUGUUUUAAGUACGUAGUUCCAACAAAAUUGAAACCUAUACAUAUAGGCCUACUACUUAUAAUAAUGUUUGAUAAAAAUUGAUUAGAGAAGGCUUUCGAAUUUUGAAAUUACAGUGACUGUCUUGUGUUCGAAUUUAAUCUGGCAAGGUGUGUUAUAUUUUAGAAUUUCGUAGAUUUUUGCUUGAAGAGAUAUUUGUGGAUUUCAAAAAUAGACAUCCUAAUAUUUGCAAUAAGCUAUCAUAUGUGGAAAAAUAAUCAUUUGAUAUUUUACUUGAAAAAACUUACUGCAAAGUUAAAGGGAUUGAAACGGGUUUUGUUUAAGUUAUAGAAGCUUUAUGAUAUAUAUAUAUAUAUAUAUAUAUAUAUAUAUAUAUAUAUAUAUAUAUAUAUAUGCUACUGUUUGAAUUAAAUAGAGUGUUGAUACUAAGUUAUUAGAAUUUUAUUUUAUGUGACUAGUAUUUUUUUCACAAGAUAAGAUAUUAUGCAUGUGAAAAAUGAGAUAAGUUAUUAUUUUAUGUGAGAAAGUCAUCACAGAUGAAAGUUGUUAUUUCAUAAUAGAAUAACUAUUCUUAGCACACCACAAUUAAUUUGUAAGAAAAUUAUAUAUUUUAUGUACUAAGAUAUUUGCUCCAUGGGUAAAAUAAUUAUUCUUAAGGUAAAAGUGUACAAUUACGGGAAACAACACUAAAAACACAUUUAAAAGUUAUUAUGUGAAACACUUUAUACUAAUUAAUUAAUUAAGUAUAUAACUUAAUUGUGAGAUUUUUUUCUUAAAUUAGAUAUCAUGGAGAAAUUAAACUAACACUACUACAUACCAGAAUUUUUAAACAAAUCAAUUAAAAAUGACAUUUUAAAUCAAUUGUAUGAACAUUUUAAAAAGUCACAUCUUAAAAAAGUCAUGACUUUUUUAUAUUAGUUUUCAAUUAUUUUUAACAAUUAUCAUUUAAGAUGUGUUUGUUUAGAUAAUCAAUCUAAAAAAUAAAUAGUUUUAAACCAUUUUUAGAUGGCUUUUUGCCAUAAGCAAACUAAUUAUUUUCAUAUAGCACAUUUUAUUUAUUUUUCUUCCUAUAAAUAGACAUCACACCCACAUAAAAGACAACACAAUGCAAAUUAUAAUAGCAAAUGCACUACUUAGUACUUACUCAUUGUAAACAAAUUAUACUCAAACAUUUUAAACAAAUUCUACUAUACUCGUUGAACCUUAAUAUACAUAACACAUAUACAUUUACCAUAACCUUAUAUAAAGCAUCCCAAAGAUUUAAGUGCUAAAUGUUUGUGAAUUGAUUGGAUAAUGUGUAACAUGGUGUAAUAUACAAUAAGCUUUGGUUCUAGAGUCAGUAGAAAAAGUAAAUACAUGUCUCACUUGUACAUAAACAUAGAACCAAAGCAAAAGCAUUUGUCAACUGAUAGAGAAGACUUGAGGACCCACAAAUCUUCUUCAUAUGAUAAAUUGGAUAGCAAAAGUUUUGAAAGAGGUGGAACGAAAAAUCCAUCAAUAGUAGUCCCAAAUGGAUGAAUGCAUCAACAACUAUAUUACUUUUAGGAUUUCAUCCUGUAGUUGUUGGGAAAAAAACAUUUGAUUUAGUUGAGCAUUUAUUUUGCAAAUACAGAGUAUCAAACUAUCACGAUAAGGCUGAACUUGCUACUUCCUAAUAUUUGACAUAUGCAAACACUUCUAAUGAUGAAUCUUAGAGACUCGAGAGAAAUAAAAUCACAAUGUUGAGACAAAUUUGAAUGAGGUCCUAGAAAAGGAUAAACAUAGAAGCACCAGAAGAACAUCAAAUAUGUUUUUUCCUCUCUGGACCCUCAUUCACAUUUGUCUAAACAUUUUGUUACAAUUUUCUCUUAGGCCUCAUAGACUCAUCACUAGAAGUGUUUGCUUACGCCACUACUAGAAAGUAACAAGCUCAGUCUCAUCAUGAUAGCUUGAAACUCUAUAUCGACAAAAGAAAUGCUAAACUAAAUCAAAUGUCUUAUUUCUAACAAUUGCAAAAUGAAGUCUUGAAAGUAAUUCAAUUGGAGAUACAUUCAUUAGUUUGGUAUUACUAUUGAUGAUUUUUUUUGUUCCAGUUAUUUAAGAACUUGUGCUACCCAAGUUAUUAUAUGAAAAAAAUAUGUGGGUCCUAAGUCUUAUCUAUCAAUUAACAAAUAUUUUUUGCUUUAGUUCAAUGUUCAUGUAUUUGGGAGAUAUGUACUUACUUUUUUGUCUGACUCUUGAACCAAAGUCUGUUGUACAAUACAUCAUGUUACACAUUACCCAAUCAAUUCACGAACAUUUAACACACUAUAUGAUGAAGAUGAAAAAACCACUUAGGUUAUAUACCAACAUUCUACAAAUUGACAGCUUCAUGAAAAAAAUUGUCCAAUGUUGUUGAAUGUUAGCAAUAUUCUCCAAAAGCAUUGAACUCGAAUUGUUAAAGGUCUACAAUUUAAAAAGAAACAAAUAAUAAAAUAUUAUCUCAAGAACUAAAAACAAAAUAUAAUUAAUCUAGCUUGUGAAAAUUGACUUACAUUUUUCCAUGAAUCAAUAAUAUUUUGUGACAAUUGUGAUCAUAUGGUGUAUGACAUAAUAUCCACACUCAUAACCUCCAAGUUGUGUUUCGCACUGCUACAAAUGAACAUCAAAUUAGUGACUACUUACAUAGGAUAAUUUUUAAUGGAUAUUCGAUUUUAAAACUACUUACACGAGAUAAAAUCCAUGUAUGCUUCCUUCUAUUUGUUGGUUGUAUAGCCAUGUAGACCAUUAACCUUUGAUAUUUGUCCAUAACACUAACAUAAAAAAAUAAUCAUGUGAAUUGCAUUAUAGGUUUUAGAGUUAUAAAUACAUGAGAAAGGAAAUGUUUUAGAAAUAAAAGCUUAUGAAUUAACUAUGUUUCUCAUUUCUCGGUUGAUAUACUUCUUGUAUAAUGAACACAAUAACACCACAACAGUUUGCUUAGGACAAAGUAUCAACAAUUGUUAGUGGCUCCUACAAUGGAGAACAAUUAGUAACUAAUAACACAUAAUUUGAAAUAAAUUGUAAACUAGAACUUACGAAUACAAGUAAGGUGUUAAGUAAAAUUGAUGUUUGCCUUCAUGUAGCUUAAUUUGCAAAUAGCUUUGAACAUUCAUUAUCUUAUUCCCAUCAUUCUGAAAGGAUAAUGGGUCCAUGAAUCCAUAAAUAUGUGCAUUCUCCAUAUCAGUACAUAAGAAAUGUAGAUACCUAAGAUAUUGUAAUAAAUGUUAAAUACAAUAAAUUGAUAUUUAAUUAAUUAGUAUAUUUGCAAUUUAAAUGUACUUACAUAAACUAGAAUUGUAUGGCUGAGAUGUUAAGCAUAUUUGUGCCCAUAUAUACUUCCAAGAGGUUCCUCUGCUCAAUAUAUAAUGAUGUGUUACAAGGGUGCCUAGUACAUUUGGAUUCCAUUGUAGUUGUAUAGGAUGCUUAAUUGUGUUUGCUACCAUGAAUAAACGUUCAACGAGAUCAACUUGAGGUUUAGACCUUUCGUGUGGAACAUCUUUGCUAUGUGGCCAGGGCUAAACAAUAAAGGUAAAACAAUAUUAGUAAACAUUAUUAAGUCAUCACGACUAUAAAUUGAGAAAAACACAAGUAAAUAAUUGAUUACAAAUACCUUAGGUAAAAUAAACUUAAUGAGUCUUCUCGACCACUAAAUGAAAUGAUUAAGAGUAUUUCUACUAUUUGAACGUCAUUAAUAUGGAAAAAUGCUAGAACAUUUAUAUCUUUAACCUCUUCAACCACCACACCAUGAUUGUAGAAUCAAAAUGUUUGUAUGUUUGAGUUGCAUUUUCAAUAUACACUUAGAUGUAAAAAAUAUAGGAAAUAAAAAAAAAAUAGAAAAAACAUAUUUAUGCAAGCUAGAAAAUUUACAAGUUUACUACCUCAGUAGGAAAUUUCUUUACCUAAAUCAAAUAGCUUCACUGAGUGCAUCAACCAAAAGGUACCAGUAGAUGAGUGUCCUACAACAAAAAAAAAACAAAAAAAAAUGUUUAUGUAUAACACCAACAAAAAUGGUUAAGAUACAUAUGUGUGUGUGAAAAAAUCAAACCUCAUAAUUGGUUGCUCCAUCAACAAUGAAUAUACAAAUUUGUAGCCCAUGUUCCAAAAAUAACUUUAUGCAUGUCUAAGCAUUGAAUCGUUGAAUAUGCCAUCACAAAAAUAUAAAAAAUCACAUAUGAGAAAGUUAUUGCUUAGUUGACAAUUUCCAGAUGAGUAUUUUCCUACAUAUUAUCUAACAUUAACAAGCUUUGAGAAAUUUUGCAUAAAUGAAAAGUGAGGCAAAAUAAUAAGUAACCACAUAGAAAAAAAUGGAAGACUAGAGUUGAUGGAUAAUGAAAGAAAAAAAAAAUCUUAUCAUAAGCAAUUGGAUUAUUAGAACCUGAUGAGGAAAAAAUAUUAAACCUUGAAUAUCCAUCUUCAGAAUCUCCCGAUCAAGGCCAAGUUGAUGUUCGUCUUGAUCUCAUUUAGCGAGGAUUUUGGUUUAUAAACCCAAAAAAAGGUGAGUCAUGUUAAGAGAUUUAACACGAUGAAAGGAGAAAGAGGUGAAAGGUACGAGAUAGGCGAGAGCGGCUCUAGGAUUUCAACAGAGAAAGAAAAUCUAGUGGUUAUAUUUUAGGGUUAGCCAAAAGUACUUCUUUUAAGUAAGCAAUACAAUAUGGGCUUGGGCCUAAUUUCAUUCUAUGUUUGUUAGGAACGUUUGGUUUUUGAUGGAUGCAAAAGAUCAAAAAUUGAAUUUGCCUAGUAAAAUCCAUUCAAACCCAUUUUUUCAACUGCCCAAUGCAUUUACUUGCCCAAACAAUAAAAAUAUAUAUUAUUAAAGUCACUUUAUAAAUUACAUGAGUCAUUAUUAGAUUUAAAAUAUAUAUACAGAUACACCAAAUCAUAUAGUUGAGUAAUACACACACAUUUACAUUCAUUGAUAGAUAAAAUAUUAAUUUAAUAUAUUAUGGUCUAUGACCUUUAAUUUAUAGAUAGAACACCUCUAACGGAUUAGGUUUUAGUGCUUAACCUCCACUAAAAUCUCACAUGGACACAACAUACUUUCAAUAAGAAAGUUGGAAAUCUUAAGAGGGAUGCUAAUAAGGAGGUCUUGAUGAUUGUUUGUACAAAUGGGAGCCAUAUUCAGUAAAGUCAAAUUUGCAUCUAUUUUGCAAUCAUUGUACUUAUAUUUGUAAAAUAAGGACCGAUUAUAAAUGUUGAUCAUCGGUAACAGUUGCAGUAGUUGGUCGUUGAUCGUCGAUAACAAUCUUGGUUAGCAAUCGCGGUUGCCAAUUGCCAAUAACGAUUGUGGUCAUUGUUCGCUGGUUGUUGAUCGCGAUCGUCGAUUAUUAGUAACAAUCGCGAUCGUUGGUCACCAUUUGCCAGUCCAUCAUAUUGACAUUUUUUUGGAUUACAAAAUUUUAUUGUUGAAGAUACUUCGGAAGAAUUUGAGAAUGAUUUUGAAAUUGAUUAUGAAGUUCCUUUUCUAUUUUGCAUCAGUUUUCAAAAUCCAAGUUGAAAUUAAAAGUUCAAAACAAAAACUAGGUUUUAUUUUCAAAUAUUUCAAAAUUGAAAAAUGAAAGCCACUCCAAACGGAGCCUAAUAUUUACGGAUAAAAAAGAACAUAUUCAUGAGAUAUAUAGAAAAGAGAAGAGGAACAUGGAAACAAAAAAAAAUGAAGCAUGGGCAAAAAUAGAAAAAAAAACAACGAGUAGGUAAUGUAAUUUGGGUAUUUAAAUAAUCUACAAUCUUAUAACACUUAUUAUUUUUAACUAACAACAAGGACCUAAAAUAAAUCUUUUAAUAUAUUAGAGACUCAAAACAAUAAAAAAUUAUUAGGGAUCUAAAACAAAAUUUAGUAAUGUAUCGGAGAUCUUAAACAUAUUUUAGCCUUUGUGGCAUUGGACUUGGUUUAUUUAAGUAAGGUCUUGGGGUUGAGCCUUGUAAAUGAAAAAAAAUAUGAUUAGCCAGGGAGAUCCCAUUAAAAGUGACCAAUAAGGUUUUCUGACGAAAAUUAAUCAUCAAGAAAAGUGGUGGAUACUUUGCACCAAUAUUGUGAUUAAAAAAAAUUAAUCUUGUUUUGUUUUUAUCACAUUAGUUUUUUAUAUGUAGAAAUUAAAUAUAAGUAUUUGAGUAUUUAGAAUUGAACAAAAAUCACCAUACUUAAUUAGGAUAACAAGAUUUUUUUUUACUCUUUCCUCUUCCUCUUCCAUAUAUAUAUAUAUAUAUAUCCAUAUGUUUCAAAGUUCAAACAGUGUCAUGAAUGUCUUAACACAUUCAUUUUUUUCUUUAUAGAAAACACAUAUUCAUUUUUUUAUAACUACUGUUGAGAAUAGUAUAGACUAAAUUAUGACUUUAGUUCUCUUAUAAUUUUGAAUCUAUAGUUUUGAUCCCCUAUUUAUAAAUCAAAAUAUUUAAUCCAUCUAUUUUAAAAAAUAAACAAUUUUGAUAUUUCGUCAUCCAGAGUUAGACCUUGACUUUGAUGUCCAUAUUGAUGCUGAUAUGAUGCUUAUAUGAAAAAAAAGAUUAAAUGAAAUAAAAAAAGUAUCUUAAUAUGACCCUUUAUUCAUAAACAAGAUAAUGAAUCACAAACACACUUAUUUUAUUUAGUUAAUUACAUUAACAUUAUUUUUUAUGUAUUAUUCAUCAAGAGUUAUUAAUUUUUUUCUAUAUAUCUACGUAAAAUUAGUAAGAUUUCUAUUUGAAAUAUUUUUAAUUUAUAAAUUUUGAUAAUUUAAAAAAAAAUUAAUAACUCUUAACUAAUGAUACAUGGAAAAUAAUGUUAAUAUAAUUAAUUAAGAAAAAUAAAUGUUUUAUUGUCUUGUCUAAUAAUAAUUUUAUGUAAAUAAUCAAAUUAAAAAUAAUAAAUAUUUUAAAAUUAUUUUACAAAAAAAUAAAUAUAAAUAAUUUAUAUAUUAAUUUAUGAAAUUUAAUUGUAAAUUGAUAAAAUAAAAAUAAAAAUACGUAAACUAUUCAAAAUAAUAACAUAUCAAUGAUAUAAAAUAAAAUUAAAAAAAAUUAUAUAUUAAAUAUUUUUUAAUUUAUAAAUUUUAAUAAUUUUAAAAAAAUUCAUAACUAUCGAAGAAUGAUACAUAAAAAAUAAUAUUAAAGUAAUUAACUAAAAGAUAAAUAUAUUAAAAAUUUAUUAUCUAUUAUAUGAAUAAAGAAUUAUAAAUUUAAUUCUUAUUAAAAUUUUAUUUUUUAUUUCAUUUAAUUUUUUUCAUAACCAUAUUAGUUUACAUAAACUCACAUCACAUCAGCAACAUUUUGCCAAUUAUCAUUCCGAUUUCUUACAUGGCAUACUCCUAUUGGUAGCCCCCAAAGAUUUCAGUGGGUCAGGCUCCACAUAAGCCCAAUCCUCUACUUCCUCAAUCUUCUGGUGGAUAAGAAAAAGAUCUAAACACUUCCCAUGUUUCAAUGGACAACAAUAACAAUAACACACAAAAACAAUUCCACAGCUACAUAUCCACCACACCAUGGCCACAACCACCAUGUUCUCAUCACCAUCGGCAAUUCUCUCCUCAGCCGCCACAACCACCACCCCAAAACCAUCCUCUGCAGCACCACACUCCCCAUCAUGCAAGCAUCCUCUUCUACUACCCUUCAAACAGCCCUUAACAACCUUAACUGCCGCCGCCGCCAUCGCCACUAUUUUAACCUCCGCUCCAACACCCUCCUUAGCACAAGAGUCCCUCUCAUAUAAAGUCUACUAUGGCACCGCCGCCAGCGCCGCGAACUACGGCGGGUAUGGUGGCAACUCCAGCAAGAAGGACUCUGCUGAGUAUGUCUACGACGUGCCUGCUGGCUGGAAGGAACGGUUGGUGUCUAAAGUCGAGAAGGGUACCAAUCACUGAUGCUUCAAUUUGCUUCACGUAUCUCAUACUGAUACUCAUACGUAUUUUUGAAGUAUCCGAGCUUAUGAAAAAAAAAAAAUGAAAAUUUCAAUAUAAGAACAUGAUAUAUGUCUCUGUAUAAUAUAUAAGCAUGGAAGCAUUGUCCAUUGAAGAACUAAAAUUUCAAAAUUAUUCUUUUUAUGGAUGAUUUCAAGAAAGGAAUGAAAUUGAUAGUACUAUUCUUAUUUGAAAAUAAUAGGAAAAUAAUUUAUGAUUAGGUUUAUAAUUUUUUUUUAGUGAUGUCUAUGUUUUUAAUUUAGAUUUGUAGAAUUGCAAGUAUAUAUUCAUUACGUUUUAUGAAUUUUUAUACAUGUCUCGAUAUGAAUGUAUCUUAAUACACGUAUUGUAUAUGUGCAUCAUCAUAGGUACCAAUGGAACGGACAGUGAGUUUUAUAACCCAAGAAAGAAGGCAGAGAAAGAGUACCUCACUUUUCUCGCCGGGUUUCGCCAACUUGCGCCAAAGGAUGUGAUUUUGAACAACUUGGCACUGUCUGAUGUGGACCUGCAGGACCUGAUUGGCAAUGCUGACAGUGUGACCUCUGAGGAGGUGAAGGAUGAUAAGGGGCAGCUGUACUAUGUGUAUGAGAUUGAUGGUGUUGGCACUCAUAGCUUGAUCUCAGUGACUUGUGCUAAGAACAAGCUCUAUGCACAUUUUGUCAAUGCUCCUACUCCUGAGUGGAACAGAGAUAAGGACGUGUUGAGGCAUGUUCAUGAGUCUUUUAAGACUGUGGGGUCUUUUUAGUUGGCUUGUGGUGUUUUGUAUUUUGUAGAGGUAAUGGAUGAUUAUCUAUUAUGAGGAUGAGGAUGGUUUCUUUUGAUGAUAAAUUUUAAGUUUUUCCUACUUGUCUGCUUGAUUCAAUUUUUGGCAUAGUUAGCUUCAAUUUGGAACUGUUUUAAAUAGAGUGUAGCUGUUGCAAGGUGUAAGUCUAGGUUGUUUGUGGUUGAACUUGCGAGUGUUCUUGUAGUUGUUUGUAGCUUGAAAAACUGAAGGAUGUUGUUGGACUUUUUCAUGUAAAAUUCAAAAUUUAGGGAUUUUCAAAAUAUUUUGGCAUGGAAAAUUUAGAAUUAUUCCUCAGGAGUUAGGCACUGAUUAUCUGUUCUAUGCAGAGGAUGGUGUCCUUAGGAUGGCUUCUUUUGAUAAAUUUGGGAUUUUUACUGUUUGUUAGCUUGGCUGAAUAUUUGGUAUAGUUGGCUUUGGUUUGGAACUUUCAAUUUCUAAUGUGGUUAAUUGAGAAAAUAGAGUUUAGCUUUUACAAGUCUAAGUUGUGUGUGGUUUAUGGUUGAAUCUGUUAGUAUUAUUCUGGUUGUUUGUUGCUUACAAAUUCAAUUUCUGAUGUUUUUGGACUUUCUUUUUUAUGGAAAAUUGAAUUUCUGAUUUUUAAAUUGGAAUUGACUAAUGAAAUUUUGGGUAGGCCGAGGAAAAGGCUGGAAUUAGAAAUAUUCCUCAGGAACCAGGUAAUGAUUAUGUGCUCUAUGCAGAGGAUGGUGUCCUGCUAUGGGUUAGAAAUUUUUACUACAUGUCAGCAUAAUUGUAUUUCUGGUUCAAUUGGAUUCUCUUUGAAACUUUCAGGAAUCCCUCAUGUGAAAUUUUUUCUGUGGAAAUUAGAGACUAGUGGUUGAAUCUAAUACUUGCUGUAGCUUGAAAUUUGAAAACUCUUGAGUUGAGUUGUGGCAGUUAUCAUAAGUCUUUGGAGAUGUUUUCAUGGAAAAUUCAAUUUCUGAUUUUUAAAUUAGAGUUAUGAUCAUUGCAAUUUCGGGGUAGGAUGAUGAAAUAUCAGGGACUAGAAAAAUUCCUCUGGGUCAGUGACCUCUCGUGGGAUUCAUUUUCACGAUCCUUUUGAUCACUAAUAUUUAUAAUUCAAAUCUCAAAACUAUAUGGAUGGCUACUCUGUAACUGAUAUUGAAGGUUAAUUGACUAAUAGAUUGGUAAGAUUUUUGGUUACUAACUAAAUCCUCUAACCUCUUAAAGUUGGAUGCAUUUAUUUGAGAUAAAGCUUGAUUUCUGGUACUGUGUUACAUGACCUUGAUGUUGUUUGAUUCAUAUUGGAUGUGGCUUUACCAACCAACCAGUUUAAACUUAAACACUAAUUGUCAUCAAAUAUAUAAAUACUGUGGACUGCAAAAUCAUAAGAAGAUAAACCAGAAGAAAGAUGAAAUCAAAAGAAAAAUUCCUUAAGAAUGAAGUUCAACUCAUUAUAGCUUAUCCUACAAAUGAAGUUCACGUUUAACUUGGGAAGAUUUUGAUUUGGCACAUUUGAUUUAAGUAUCAGUUUAUUUUAUUUUAAAUUUAGUAAAAUUGAUUUUGAAUUGCUAAAUUAAGUGUCUUACUAAUCCUAAUAUACUAGUUAAGAAACCAAUAAUAGAUAGUAUUUUUUUUAUUUAUUGAAAAUCAUUUUGAGAAUUUAUUAGAAAUCAGUGCAAUACAUUAACAAUAUUUUUAAGGAUUAACUAACUUUCUAGUUAUUAAAUUUUUUCAAAAUUUAAUCUUUAGUCCCCGAAUAAAAAUUUGUUCGAUGAAUGUCUGUUAAUUAUUUUUCUUUAAUGAUUCUAGUUCCAAAAUAAUAAUUUGAUAGGUCAAAAUUCUUAAAUUUUUUAUUUUUUAAUUUAUGGAAAAAAGUUUAAACUCCAUUAUGUUUAGGAUGCACAUUAAUUGUUCAUUGGUCAAUUGAAUAUUAUUGUCUAAAUCAAAUUAAUGGUGUUAAAAAUAUGUAUUUUGUGAUAUUUUAAAAUCACAUAAUUAUAAUUUUAAAUUGUCAUAAAGUACAAAAAUUUAAUAUCAUUCAUUUAAUUUAGACAAUACAAUCAAAUUGAAUUAAUUUAAAAAAUUAAAGACUCAAAUUAAGUAAAAAUAAACUAGAAGAACAAAAUAAAUCUAAAAAAUAAAUUAAAGAAAAAAAACAAAUUCAACCAAAAUAUUUUUCACUCAAUUAUCGUUCAAGAAAAGAGUGUGAACAGGGUCAAAGAAAUGGAGGUGGGGAUAGAUCCAUUUUUUCUUAUUUCAAUUUUUUAGGGUUAUUUAAAUAAAGAAUCCCCCCUCCGUCUCAAAGCUUUCCUCGGAUCUGACCUUACGCGAAAGAAGAACCCUGGAAGAGAGCGAUCCAUAAUCCAUUGGUAAGGAAUCUUCUCUGUUGAUUAAUUGAUUUUGUAAUUCCAAAUUUCGAAUCUUUCAAGUUGAGAUCCUCACAAGAACUUGAAUCAAUGGUGCUCAUAACCCGUUGCUAUUUUUAGUUAACAACAAACAAGGACACGCAAGACAAAAGCACGAAACUCAUAGGUAUACACAGCUAUCUCUUGAGCUUCUUAGCAAAGAGAAUUUUGAGCAGAAACUUGGUGGUGGUGUUGGAAGAGGAACAAUACAUCGUCCCUUUGGUAUUCCGGCAAACCCAGAAUCCACUGUUGGCUUGGAUACACCGUUGUGUAAGCUGUGUUGGGAUGAACAAGUCAAGGGUAAGUUUUCACUUCUUGUUUCUUUCAUGUAUGAUGAAUGGGUGGACUAGAAUUCUCUUCUUUUUUUAUGAUUUCAUUCAUAACUUCUUCACAUCACAUGUUAUCUAUUUCCUCUGCAAUAUUUUGUCAUCAACUACUUGUAGUAUCAACCAUGUCUCACAAACUAAACCGAUUCUAACAUAAUUACUCCAUGUCCACCUUAAUUACAAUGCAAAAGAACCACUUCUAUUUUUAUUAUUUUUUUUUUAAUUUCAAAAGAACACAAUAUCAUAAACACACUUAACACCGAUAGUAGUCAUUGAGCACAAAUAACCUCACCAAGAAGCACAUGACAGAAUGAAUACUAUUGGUGUUAGAGAGAUGAUGCGAGAUACCUUUAAAUGUGGUUUGGCUCCUUGCCUUAUAUAAGUUAUGGUCUACUGAAGUUAACAAGUUAUUAGCAACAAUGUGCUGAGAGAAUAUUUCUCCCAAAAAAAACUUUAUAAUCAAAAUUACAAAUUCAUCGAAAGACCUUCAAUCGUCAAUUGACAACAUUUUUAAUAUAUAAUUCACCAAUAAAAAAAUCAUCAAAUUUCUAUUCAAUUGUAUCAUAAAAUUUUACCAAUCGUCAACCAAGCAUUAUAUUUCACUAAUAUAUAUAUAUAUAUAUAUAUAUAUAUAUAUAUAUAUAUAUAUAUAUAUACUAAAAAUCAAAUCAAAUUACAUUAAAUUAACUUUACCAAUUAUUACAUCAUUUUAAAACUUUAAAUUAAAUGAUAUUUUUUUAAAACUUACUGUUUGAUGGAAAUUUUUUUCCACAUAGAUCACAUAUGUAAAAUUUUAUAUUAUUUUUCAAAAUCAUUUAUUAUAUCUUUCAUUUAAAUUAAAAUCAACAUCAUCUAAAUAUUAAAAAAUAUACUAAAAUAUAGAUCGGGUGACUAUCUUAUUGUUGUUAUUCAAUUUUUAAAAAAAUCAACAUAAAUUAUGUUUGUAAUAUGAAAAUAUAAUUUAACGAUUGAAUUAAUAUAAAUCUCAUAUAUAUAUAUAUUAUAAAAAAUAAAUCAUAUUACUUUGUCCAUCAAUAAAAUUAGAAUAUUUCAUGUAAGAUUUUAAAUAAUCAAUUUGCAAUUAUUUCAUAAUAAAAUAAUCAAUUAACUAGUAAUAUAGAAAAGAAAUUUGAAGAAAUAAUAUAGAAUUUGCUAUAGUCUCCAUUAUUUACUCAUAGACUUCCUAAAAUACUGGGAUUGAAGCCAACAAACAUUAAUGGUGGGACGUAUAAAUGUAAGAUAUCAUUAAUUGAAAUUAAGUUAGAAAUUCAAUGUAAGAUAUAAAUGUAAACAAUUUUUUUAACUCUUGAUAUAACUCUAGAAAUUUCCAAUAUCAUUAAUUGAAAUUUUUUCAAUUUUUUAAAAAUUAUAAUACUCCUUAAUUUAUUUUAAAUUCCUCUAAUUCAUUACCUAUAUAAAAUAUAGUCAUGUGACUGAAAAAGGUAUGAGCAGAAUUAUUCAGCUAAAUUCAACUCCUUAAAAUAUAGUUAAUAUAAGUCUAAGGUUUUCCAUCAUCUCUUUCAAGCUUAAAUAACAUUUCCAUUAUUUAUAUUAACAAUAUGAUACUCUAUAUUUCUACACUAAAAAGGAUUUCCUAUUCUAAGUAGUUCAGAUUUUAUUGAAAAUGAUAAAAUUAGAAAAUAAUUAUUAAAUAUAAUGUGAGACUUAUAAAAUUUUAUUAUUGUUUAAUAAAUUUCAUUCAACAAGGUGGAUGUGUUCAAAAAAAUGUCAUAUUACUUCUUAUAGAAUUAUGUUUUGUUUUUGCAUGUUGGUUUUGUGGAUCCUUAAAAACUUUUUUGUUUAUUUUUUUUACGUUGGUUGGUGGCUUCCAGUCAUCCACCCCCCAUAACUAUUUUAUUUUUAUUUACUUCAUAUAUAAUUAUAUUUAUAUCGAUAUUUCGAUAACUUUUAAUUUAUUUUAUUUACUUAUGUAUUUCAUUGGCCAUUUUGUUGACAAUUUUAACUCCUGUUCCUCUUCCUCGUCGGUUCUUUCUCUUCUUUUAUUAAAUACUCUCUUAAAACUUAAGGAUAUUUCAUAUAGUUAGUUCUUGUUUAGUUUGACUUGCGAAAAAAUCGCUUCUUUUGUCAGGUUUUUGACAUAGUUUUUGAAAAAUGAAAGAGUCAUUAUUUUUAAUCACUCAAUGAUAGAAUUCUUUCGUAGUUAGUUUUUGUUAAUAAUAAAGAUUCAAAUCUACGAUCUUUAUUUCUCUUCUUCAGCCACCGAACGAAUCUUAUAACUCUUGAAAGACCCAUUAUUCUCUUAAGAUUGUUACAAAAGUGUGCAAAUUAUCCUUUAGAAAGUUAAUAUGUGUACAAAAUGUUUCAUCAUAAGGGCAUAACCUAAGCAUUUCCUAUUCUCUGCAAAUGAUGCUUCCCACUCUUAGGUGAAUUACUGCAACAGGGAUUUGAAGGAAAAUUUUAAAAAAUUAGUGUAGGUCACACAUAAUUCAAAUAUUUCUUUACUAUUUAAUUCCAUUCCAUUAUACUCUACCAAACUAUGCUCACAAUGAAAUGAAUGCCUUGGUUUCACCUAGGUAAAUUCAGGGAAAAUAUUUUAUUUGUCACCUUCUCAAAAACGCCCAACUUGAAGAUUAUUGUAGAGAUAUUAUUUGAACACUAUGGAUAUCAAGUGCCCGAUUUUCAAAGUGAUGAAGAAGCAGUUAAGCGAUUGGGACUUUUGCUUAGGAAAAUUGAGGGAAGUUCAAUGUUGUUGUUCCUGGAUGAUGUUUGGCCUGUCUCAGAAGCCCUUGUCAAGAAAUUUCAAGUCCUGAUACUAGAUUCUAAAAUUUUGGUAACUACUAGGGUUGGAUUUCCUAGAUUAGGCACUCAGUGUAUCUUAAAACCACUCGUUCAUGAUGAUGCAAUAACCCUUUUCCGGCAUUAUGCGUCAUUGGAAGAAAGCUGUUCUAGUAUUUCUGAAGAAGUCAUCCAAAAGGUGCGAACCAUAUGGUAGAAGUCAUUCAAUUGAAGUAGAUAUCACAAUAUUGGAUAAUGGAUAUUAACACUUGGAACCUUUUUAUCAUUGAACUAACAUUGAAGAAACAUGUACAAAAUAGAAAACCAUGUUUUGACCCCUCAAAAUAAUAUGAUAAAUUACUUGCAGCUUGGGGGCCUAAGUCAUAGAAAUUUGGUUACUGACACUGGCUAUUUUUGGUUGCAAAUAUAGGUUGUGAAAAACUGCAAGGGUUUACCACUUUCCAUCAAAGUGAUUGGGAGCUCACUCUGUAAUCAGCCUUUUGAGUUGUGACCAAAGACAGUGGAGGAAUUGUCCCAAUGUCUACUUGAUUCUAACUUCAGAUAAUUCUGUCAAGGAGUGCUUCAGGGACCUAGGGUUAUUUCCUGAAGACCAAAGAAUUCCUUUUACUUCUCUUAUUGAUAUGUGGGCAGAGUUGUAUGGACUAGAUGAUGAUGGCAUAGAGGCAAUGUCCAUCAUCAACAAAUUAGACUCCAUGAAUCUGGCUAAUGUCUCGGUAGAAAGGUACAAUUACAGCAUAUAUUUUCUUCACUUAAUCCUAAUAUAUACAACAAAUAACAUGAAUUUAUGCUCUAUAAAACAGAUAAUUCAAUGUCUUGUAUAGCUUAUGUGAGAAGCAUAUGUUUCAUCAUAUAAUAUUACAAGAGAAAUGCUAGCAACACUCUCUAACAUUCUUUUUCUGAUACUCUAUGAUUGGUUUAAAUUUAUUGAAAACCACCAAUUUUGGUUGGUCCCUCAUCUCAUUUAAUGAUUCUUUCUCCUAAUUUAGAAGUGGGAUCCACCAAAAUUAGUCAUUUCUAAUAAUUUUCCACCAAUCACAAAGAGAGUAUUAGGAAGAGAGUGUCACUAACAUUCCUCAUAUUACAAAUUACAAAUGACCAUUUAUCUUAGUGAAAUUGAGCACCUUACAGUCUGUAUUUAUUAAUGUGAACUUAAGUUGAAAUUCAUAAUUAUUCUUUUUCAUAGAGAGCAUUUUUAUUAUCUUGAGUGAAUUUCUCUUAAGGAAUGAAUUUCUGCUUAUUUACCCGGAAAAAUGCUAGUGACACAGACAAUUACUUCUACAAUAACCUCUUCAUCGUCCUUCAUGACCUUCUGAGAGCUUGCAAUUCAUCAAAGCACCCAGGAACCAAUUGAACGGAGAAAAAGAUUGAUUAUUGAGAUAAAUCAAAAUAAACCUGAGUGUUGGCUUGGGGAGAAGUCAAAAUUGCUUGGCUGGCGUGUUAAACAGAAGCCCCAACAUGCCACUGACCACACAUUGUCUAUAUCAACUGGUGAGUUAUACCUUUUCUAAAGGCUAUACUUACAAAGUAAAAAUUAGUAGUAUAGUAUGAAUGUUAGUUACAGUGAUCUGCCAUUCAUUAUAUUCACAACUGAUGCCAUAUGGGUUGCAUUUGCAGAUGAAAAUUGUACUUCAGAUUGGCCCCUAAUGAUGCAACUGGCUCAAGUUGAGGUUCUGAUUUUUAAUCUUUAAACUAGGAAAUAUUCCUUUCCAGAUUUCAUAGAAGAGAUGAACAAACUAAAAGUUCUGAUAGUCACAAGUUACAGUUUCCAUCCUUCUGAAAUGAGCAACUUUGAGCUAUUUGGCUCUUUUCCAACCUGAAAAGAAUACGACUAGAGUGGAUUUUUGUUCCUUCCUUUGUUGCAAUGAAGAAUCUUAAAAAGUUAUCCCUCUACACGUGUAAUAUGAAGCAGGCAUUUGAAAACAAUCACAUGCUAAUUCCAAACGCUUUUCCGAAUCUUGAAGAGUUAAACAUUGACCAUUGCAAAGAUAUGGUGGCAUUGCCUAAGGGGCUCUGUGAUAUCACCUCCUUGAAGAAGCUCAGCAUUACUAAUUGCCACAAACUCUCUGCACUGCCGCAAGAAAUUGGAAAUUUGAUGAAUUUGGAACUCCUAAGCCUCAGUUGCUGUACUGAUUUGGAAGGUAUACCAGCUUCUAUUGGAAGGCUUUCAAAUCUACGACUUAUGGACAUCUCAAAUUGCAUAAGCCUUCCUAGUUUACCGGAGGACUUUGGUAAUCUGUCUAGUCUGCAAAAUCUCUACAUGAGAAGCUGUGCAAGGUGUGAAUUACCAUUCUCAGUUGCUAAUCUUGAGAAUUUAAAGGUGGUGGUAUGCGAUAAAGAGAUAGCUGCUUCAUGGGACGAUUUCAAGCCUAUGCUUCCCAAUCUAAAGAUAGAUACUUGUUCCUUAAUUAUUGUUAACCUGAAUUGGUUUCAUUCAAUCUCUUCCUAAUAUCAUGUAGUUCAGGUUGUCUUUUCAAGGUGUGAAUUACCAUUCUCAGUUGAUAAUCUUGAGAAUUUAAAGGUGGUGAUAGGCGAUGAAGAGACAGCUGCUUCAUGCGAAGAUUUCAAGCCUAUGCUUCCCAAUCUAAAGGUAGAUGUUCCUUAAAUUAAUGUUAACCUGAAAUUGGCUUCAUUCAAUUUCCUCCUAAUACUUGCUUCAUGCAUUUCAGGUUGUCAAUUCAAGAGCUGUUCAAGUGUUUCUGUUUUAAACCGCAACUGAUGUAAUUUGCGGGUUGGAGUUACUCGAACUCCUUGUGACUUAACUCCAACCAUAAUAAUGAAUGUUCUUCUGUUUGCUGUUCAAAAAAAGAAAAUCACACCAAAAAGGAAAAAGAAUAAAAUACAAUUUUCACGUUAGUAAAAGUAGAGCUGUCAAUUUGGCCAAGUUACAAGGUGGGCCAGGCAGAAAACGCACAUAGGGCCAAAAUGCCCAUAAAAGAAAUGGCUAUAGGGACAGAAAGCUCACAAAGCCCUGUGGGCUAGGACAGUCCAUGGGCCUUGAACUUUUAAGAAAUUUAUUUAUUAUUAAAAUUAUGUUCCAACUCUAUUCAUGGACCAGCUCACUCUAUAGAUGAAGAGGAUUGUUACUAGCCCCGUCCUCUUUGCUAUUCACCCCAUCCACGUGGGUAAAUUUUUUGUUAUUCUGAAAAUAUCCUUCACACGGAAUGUUGAUUCUGUUGUGAUAUUAUACAAAUGAAAUCAUGUUUUUGUUCAUAUUCUUUUUUUUUCCACCACCAAAUCAACAAAACAUGAUCAUGUUCUUGUUGUACAUAAUACAACAAAAACAUAUUUUUUAUUGUUUUUUUAAAGUGUUUUAAUUAUAAAAAAUAAGUUUAGAGUUUUAUAUUGUAAAUAUUUUAGAAAAUUAAAAUAAUAUUUAAAUCAAGAGAAACAAAUAUAAAUUAAAAGUAUUAAAAAUCUUACAAUAUGCAUAACUUGACAAAAUUAAAUUUAAAUAUAAACAUUAAAAUAUUUUAAACAUAAAAAAUUAAUUGAUUCAAUAACCAUUUUACAAAAAUAUAAAUUAACAAUAUACAUUCAGGUAUUCAACAUAAAUUCAUCUACAAGAAAAUUCACAUUAACAAAAUAAAAUUAAUUCGAAUCUUACAAUAAUUAAAUUAGCAUAACCAUAAACAUUAAUUUACCAACAAAAAAUUAAAGUAAAUAAUCCAUUCUAUUAAUAAACUAAACUAACAAAAAAAUGGAUUUAACUAUUAACUUAAAAUAAAUAUUAAUCAUUAUUUCAAUAAUUUUAAAAAAAUAUGAAAAACACAAUACACAAUGAACAAUUUCGUUUUGUAUCUCAACCAAGAUCACAACAUAAUUGAAUUUUUGUUAUGCUUUUUUUAAAAAACACAAUAAAAUUUUAUUUUAUUGUGUAUUUCAACAAACAACACAAUAGAAUUAUAUUUUUGUUAUACAUUUUUUUAAAACAACAAGGGUUGGGGGCGCAAGGAAGGAGUAGUAAGUUUUAAAUUUUGAAUUGAGGGAUAAAAUUAUCUUUUCUACGAGUUUUAAAUUUUUUAGGGGCUAAUAGAAAAUGUUGUAGGGAUCAAUAGCAACCCCUACAGAUUAACCAUCUCACUAUGUUGGCUAACUAAACUAGUCCACUUCUAACUUUAAUUAUAAAUAAAUCAUUCAAUUAAGAUGAAUUUAUUUUAAACUAAAAUUAACAUUUUAUUUAGCAUUUCAAAUAUUCAAAUCCAAAUAUUUGUCAAUAUAUAUAUAUAUAUAUAUAUAUAUAUAUAAUAUAAUAUAAUAUAAAUCAAUACAAGUAAAGCAAAUGUCUAACUUGUCAUUAGCAAUGUAUUGCAAUUAAUAAAAAAUCAGUUAAGCAAGAUACUACUAAUAAUAUCAGUAUUUUUGUAAGAAGUAUCAGUGCUCAUGACGUUAAUUCUUUAAUUAUAAAAAGUUCAUUAUUAUUUAUGUUAUUUAUUUAUUUAAUUAGAAAAAAUAAUCAUAUGAUUAAAAUUUAUAUACAUACUUACAUAGUAUAAAGUUUUAUUGAAUAAAAUGUUUAAUGAAUUUCAUUUUUAAAAUUAAAAAACUAUUUUUAUUAGUCCACUUUAAAAUAUUUUAAUUUUUUUUUCCAUACAAGACAAUUUUGUUCAAUCUUGCUUUCUGACUUGGAUACGUGCUCAGUUCCCUUGAAAAAAUCACGGGAACUAUUCCUAGAACACACACUAGCUCUAAGAAGAAAGAUUUAUUAUUAAUAUAAAAUUAAGGACUAGAUCAAUAGAUGUUUAUGAUUUGGCCAACACUAAAGUUGAAUUAAUUUAAGCUCAUCAAUUAAAUAAAUUACAUAAAUAAAUUUUAAAGUAUUUUUUAAGUCGAUCAGUUCAUCUAAAAAGGUCUUACAAAUUUAAAAGAUCAGGUUUUUAAGCAUAUAAUAAUAAUAAUAGUAAUAUCAUCAUUAUUAAAUUAAUUUUUUAACACAUUAAAAUUAUAUAUUUAUUAACAUAUUUAAACAUUUAAAUCUAUUUACGUAUUUAAGGACUUAAAUUACUAACAUAUUUAAUAUAUGUUCUUAGAUUAUUUUUAUUUGAAAGUCUCGUUAGUUUAGUUAUUAUAUCAGAUUACGAAGUAAAUGUUGAAAUAAACUAUAUUAGACACUGUAAAAUAAUUUUACUGUAACACACUGAAAACAACUAAAAAUUAUUGUGUGAUUGUGUGUAAUAUAGCUAGUUUAAUAGAUUUUUUUACUUCAUAGUAUAGCUUAAUAGAUUAGAAAAUAGAGAAAUAUUUAUUUUAAUUAGCUUCAAUUUUAAUUAAUAGUAGUAUUAAAACAAAGAAUUUAGUUAAGAAAAACAAAGUUUAACUUUAAAUAAAGCUUGAUCAAAACGAAGUCAUAAGUCAAUAAAAUUAGUUAAAGAAAGAGAAUGACACUUUGUUAAUGGCAUUGUUGUAAUUAAGUGAAACUUGAGUCUAGAAUCUAAAAUUAAACUUUUGAAAGUGUAAUCAUCUAAAAAAACCCACUAAUAGAUCUAGAGUGACUUUGAAUAGUCAAAUUAUUUAUUCUUAAAUGAUUAGUGAUUUUAAAAAUUGUAAUUAAGUUAAUUAAACUUAAACGGACUAAAUUACAUUGAUUAUCUAAGUGAUUGGAUGGUUGACUAUCUAAGUUUUAACUUUAACCAUCCAAGGAACUUGAAGUCACUUUUAAGACGUAAAAAACUUAUGGAACCUAGAUUGUUUUUAUGUCAAAACUUUCCAGAAUCAAAUUAUUUUGGAUGACACCUUCAAGGCCUCUUCAUCUGGGUAUGAUGGAAGUGACAAUGCUGAUCACAAGGAUUCUAUCCAAGUGUUGUGUCCAGUCAAGGCUUUUCGUGAAAAACACAGAUGAUGGCUUCAUUUCAAGGUUAUGGGCACUUCCCAAUCAUCUCCAAUGACACAAUGUUGUAUCUAAGGAAUUUUACUAAUCAUGUGAUGUAAGUCCAUGAAGUACUCAAACUAGAAAAGGAGCAGUGGGCGAAAGCUUACCUAGCUGAAGUUGUUGCCAAGGAAGCUGAAGAGAAAAGUACAAAAGAAAUGGUUGAGCAAGAUGCAAGAGCUGCAAAGCAAGCUGGAGAAGAUGCUACAAAGAUUACUGAGGUCCUUGUGUUGAUCUCAGCAUCCUUGGUGAUUUGCAAGAGAUUAAUGAACAAGCAACGUCCCCUGCAGAGUCCAUUGCUGCAAAGGCUGAUGAGGUCAUCCAAUCCAUUCAACCUGUCCCUGCGUUCUCAAGUGUUACUUUUUUGAAUGUCCAUCAUUAGACACAUCCUUUCUUUGCUCGAAAACAUAUUUUCGUUCUCACGUGUUACUUUUUUUGAAAAAAUUCCCUUUAUCUAAUAAAAAAUACAUUCUUGAGCAUCUUCAAGUCACUUCUUGCUCUGAGUGUUAUCAUUAAUAAAAAAUAUUUAAUCAUUUCUAUACUUUGAAAAUUUUUCUCAACAACCCAACAUAAAUAAAUAAAUAAUUUUAAUUAAUUAAUUUUAAAUUAAUAUUAAAUAUGUUUUAAGUUUUCUAGAUAGUGAAUAUUUGUAUUUCUACUUUUAUAACUCUUAAAAUAUAUUCUCGGAUGGCAGUUGUUUAAAAAAAGAAAAACACUAAAGAAGUUAUAUAAAAUACACCUUAUACAAUCUAUUACAAUUAAGCAUGUAUGUGAAAUUAAUUAAUUAAUUACAUGAAAAGUCACUUCAAUUUUGAUUUUCCAAACUUAUUAAUUUUCACAUUGAGAUAUCCCCAUCAUGUUCAAUUUCGGAGGCCGCUUCAUCUUCUUGCAUGCAAUCAAUGUCAACAGCACCGUGGCCAUGGCCAAAGGCCUUUAUGUGAUCCUUUAGAGAUCUUUUGUGUUUGAAAUCAGACCCACAUAAACAGUACCAUAUUUUGCCACAGUUCUUCUCGUGUGUCCUCCAAUCACCUUUCACCGCAAACGUUUUGUCACAUUUUCUGCACAUGUAGGGUUUAAUGCCGUGUUUUCUCUUGUAGUGUGUUUGAAGGGUUCUGAAGUCCUUCAGAGGCCUUGCUCUUGGGUGGUCUAUGUUGUGCUUGCAACCUGGUGCACAACAAAAGCAUGGAAGCCGUAGCAUUGCUGAUGGUUGUGUUCCUUUUAGAGAAUCAGGGCCCUUUCUAUAUUGAGAUCCAUGUCCCCACAUAUGCAUCUGCAAAGCAAUAUCAACAUGUAUAUAAUUAAAUACAGAUAUGUGCUAAUCAGUUGUGAUUUAUGAAUUUUAACUAAUUUGCCAGUAAAGAGGUAGUAAAACAAGUAUAAUUGCUACCCCUUCCUACCAUAAAAAGAAAAGUUUGGAAGAAAAUUUAGUAACUACGAUAUAUAUAUAUAUGCAAGAUGAAGGGUGUAUUUUAGUUUUGUCUUCGUUGAAAGAAAUAGACAAUGAGAGAGGGAUGUAAAUAAAUUUAUAGAUCACUUAUUGUUCAUGUCACAAAUUCAUACAGUAUUUUCUACAAUUAACGUAUAUGUUUGCCAUUUAAAUUAUUUUCCACAAUUUACAAUACUAGUGUAACAACAAGCAAAUUAAAGCAAGGCAGAUAGAAAACUCAAAUAAUGUAUUUCUUUAAUUCCACAGUAAGAUGGCUAAUAAAAGGCCCCGUGCUUACAAUUUUUGCACAAAAUAGUUAUUGGCACACAGAUAUUAACAUGAUUUUCUCAACCCUGCACAAUUAGUUUCAUGGGGUAUAGUGGGACUGGCUCUUUAAUUAAUCACACGAGAUCUCAAUGCGAUUCCAUAUAUGAAUCUUAUCACAGACAUGGCUUUGAACAUUUUUACUGUGUUUUAUACACCUGAAAUGAGGUGAGAUGCUGAUAAAUUAAGAACAUAUAAAUAUCCAGAAAGAAGCGCUGCUAUUAUAAAUUUCAUAAUUCGUUUUACUUUCCACUCAUUUUCAAUCCUGCGCAGAAUAGUAUUAUAAAUUCAUGUAAAAAAAAAUCACUUUAUUUUUUGAGAAAACAAAUUUAUAAAAUCAAGCUUGUGUCUAAUAUACCAAAUAGCUAAUUAAUCAUGUUCAUAUAAAUAUGUGUGUGUAGUAGAUAAGAGAAAGAUCGAGAACACCAUGCACAAGGGAUAGAUAUAUAACAAACCAAAAAGAGAUGAAACUUAGGGACUUUACAUGAAAGAGAACAACACAAAGGAAAUAAAAAUACUGUACAUGUAUGUAAAGUAGCCAUGAUUUUAUUUUAUUCUUUCAAAUGUUAAUAUAUAAUAAAGAGUACAAGGAAAACAACAACCUAUUGCAUACCUGAAGAUUAUUAUAUCUGUUGAAACUCUUAGAGCACACAUGACACAAAAACUGAGUAGGACCAAUGAGAAUCUGAGAAGGGGUGGGAAUCCAAUACUGAACCUUGUUCAAUCUAUCAAAAGGGUGUCCAGAAAUCACACUCCUCGCAUCCUCCUUUUCAUUCAUUUGUGCACAAGCUGCAGGGAUCUUCCUUGACCCAUUAAGAUCAUCAGAAGCAGCCACGCUAGGAAGCCCUAUUUGCAGUGCUACUGUCACAGUUUCAGCAUCACCCUCUUCAGUAGUAGUACUAGUCAUCAAAAGGGUCGUCUCAUCCAUGUCCCUUUUCUUUCCUCCUUCCUCUUCAACCAUACCACCACCACUCUUUGAUGGUUCAUUUUUUUCCUUUUGUUUUCUGAGGCUUAUGUUGUUUAUGAGAGGAAGGGCUUCUCUGAGAGGAGGAGAAGGAGGAGCAUAAGAGGAAGAGGUUUCAGAUUGAAUGGCGAAAGUGUUGUUGUUUGAGUAAGAAGAGAAUAAGUUUGAUUGAGAAGUACUAAAAGAAGAGAGGUGAGAAUAGAGGGGCAUGAAGUUGAAGGUUUCAGUGUAUAAAUUGGACUUAGGAUCUGUCAUAGUGAAGGCUUAGAAGGUUUUGGAUCGAUCUUUGGCCAGUAGCUAUAGAGUGGUGUAUAAAUAUAUUGUGAGCAUGUGAAGAGAGAGAGAAAGGGGGAGGGAUAUUGAAAUCACCUUCUUCUAGUUUUUUUUGUCCUGGUCGUCUCAUUGCUUUCUUAAUUAAAAAGUAGUAACAUUUUCUUUAUUGAUAUUAUUACUUUAUUAGAUUUUUUUAGUUAACAUGUGUGAGACACGAAAAAUUACAAAAGCAAAGCAGACAGCUGCAUGAAAUAAUUUUAGUCGUACCAUCAUAAUAACUAAUAAUAAGAUUAAUUUUAUAAGAGUGUAUAUAUUUAUAAUUGGGUAAUUAAGAAAGAAUAAAAAGAAAAAAGAUGGCCGGUUCAAUUUUUUAUUAACAAAAAUUAAUAAAUUAAAAAUUAAUAUUUACCUUUUAAAAAAGUAAGAUUAAUAUUAUAGUAUUUUCAUAAUUUAAGAAUUUUAUCACUCAACAUGAACUAAUUGGUGUGUAAUUAUUUUAGUUUAAUUAGUAAUGUUAAAUUUAAGUGUUGAGUAUAUAUUUGUGUUAAAUAGUCAGAGUAAGAAUUCUAUUAAAUAUUAGUGGGUAAUUUAAGUCUUGAGUUUAAUUAGUGACAUAAUAUUUUUACUUGAACAUGAUUAAAAAUAAAGAAUAUAAAUAAUUUUGUUCAAUUCAAUCAAAAUUACUUUUAAUAAAAAAUAUACUUUACUUUUAAAAAAUUCCUUUUCAUUUUUUCUCUUUUCUCUUUUUUUUUUUUAUACUAAGAUUAAUCCUUAGAUUUCUUCAGAUACCAUAAAUAACUCUUUUUUACACAAGAAUCACAUGCAGGACUUAAAAAUGAAUCAUAUUCCUUCAAUAGACUUUUACUCAUAUAUACAACAAGAAACUAAGUCUGAAUCAGUACACUAAUCAUGUCUGUAUCUGUCAGGCUUGAUCAAGUAAAUUAAAAGUGUUUUGAACCAUAUGGGUAAAUUUAAGGUAAAAGAACUAAAAAUGGAAGCAAAGGUGUGUGUGGAAGUACAUACUCAAGAAAUUACCCCCCUGCAAACCAAUAAGAGUAGUUAAAAGCUACAUGGAAAUCCAAAGAUAGAAUCAUUGAUUAGACAAUGGCUGGUUGUCUCCCCAAGGGAUAGAUAGAGAUGUUGCACCAUCACGUACACAUGCAUACACAUCUACACAAAAGAAAUGUGAGAGAGAACAUUCUGUUAUUUUUUUUAACUUUUUGCUUUUUCUCUUACCCCAAUAAACGGAUAGAUCUUAUUUUAUAUACUUAAUUACCUAGCUACUUCCAGCAUUUGCUUAGUUGGGCGUGUUUAGUGUUUCUUACAUUUGCACGCAUACUCAUACCACUGUUCAUUCUGCCAUUCUCACUUUCUGGCAUUUUGUCUGAUCGGUCAACAAAAUAUCAAAUGCACUAUUGAUUUUGGAGUCAAAGUGUUAUUAUAGUUUGAUAAUUUCUAAAUCACUAAUUCCAUUUUGUUUAUUCCAAGUCUAACCAUGGUUCAUUUUCAAUUGCUGCUCAUGAUCGGAUACGUACUCUCUCUGUUUUCUUAAAUAAAAAAAACUUAAAUUUUUUAUUUUCAAAUGUAAUAAGUAAAAUUUAGCUAUUUUUUUCUUUUUUAAUAAAAUUAUAAUCAAAAUAUUCUAUAUUUAAUAAGAAUAUUAAGUUUAAUAUAAGUUCUAAUAAAGAAUAAUUUUAAAAAAAUAUGUUUUUAAUUAAAAAUGACUUACAAUUUAAUAAAAUAAAUUAAUUUUCUUAUUUUUUCUUAUAAAAAAACAGUGGAGUACUUUUUCUUUUGUAAUAUAUUUUGUUAAUUUUAUGGAACUUCGGUUAUUUUAAUAUUUAUUAUAUUGAAAAUAAGUGUUAAACUAAGUAUUUUUUUUGUAAUAAGUGUGUUAAACUAAGUGUUAAUAUCUUUAUAAAAAAAAUAAGUGUUAAUAUCUUUUGUAAUAUAUAUAUAUAUAUAUAAAAGGUGUUAAACUAAGUAUUUUUUUAAUUUAUAAAAAUAUUUAUUAUAUUGAAAAUAAAAAAAAUUAACACUUAAUUCUUUAUACUUUUAUUAUUCAUAUGCUUUAUCAGCAUGUGAUUUUUUUUACUUAAAUAUAAUUUUGAUCCCUAAAAAAAGGAUCAUUUUGAUUUUUAUUUUUUUUCAAAUUUAGUCCCUAUUAAUAUUAAUAUUUUGGAUUUUAUAUUUUACUAUUAAAUAACAAUAUUAACUGUUAGCAUAAUAAUAAUACUUAUAGUCCAGUGACUUACACACGUCAAUACGUAAUUUUAUACUAAAUUUAUGUGUAACUUUUUUAGUAAAUUUUAUUUUUAAAUUCUUUUCAAAUUUAGUUCUUAUAAAUAUUAAUAUUUUGGGUUUUAUAUUUUACUAUUAAGUAACAAUAACAAUAUUAACUGAUAACACAACAAAGAUACUUAUAGUCCAAUGACUUAGACACGUCAAUAAGUAAUUUUAUACUAAGUUAUGUGUAAACUUUUAGUAAAUUUUAUUUUUAAAUUUCUCAUCAAUUAGUUUGAUAUUAUCAACUGUUUUGAAUAAAUAAAAAUUUAAAAUUAUACUUUAAUAAAAAAUAUGUAAUUAUGUUAUCAGAAUCUUUGAUAAUGUAAUUAGGUUAAAAUUGGAGUUUUAUCUUGAUAACCAGUACAUUAUCUAUUGUGUUGGUUAUUCGAAGUCUAAUUUUAAUUGUAAACAGUAUAAAAGAAUAUCCAAUCUCUAAGCUAAGUUUUAUCCUUUAUUAUAUUGCCACAGUUACCAGAGGAAAACUGCUCUUCAGGCAUCAAAUUAAGGUGGGAUCAAAUUGAAGAGGUUAUGAGUACUCUGAAGAACAACAAUUAUAGAAUAUAAAACCCAUACCAAUAAAUACCAUAUAAUUUGGACGGGAGUGGUAAAUAGCUUUAUUACGUUGAAUCAUACUGAUCACACUACUGUUAAAGGUGGACAAAAACACAACCUGUAGAAAAUGACGUAUACGUUGUCGUUUUAUUCUUAUAAUUCAACUUUGCUCGUAUUCUUGAGAUCACCUCCAGUGUGAAUUCUAUUCCUUCUUCAAAAUGUCCUCAAAGAGAUCGAAGUUUCCAGUGGUAACACGUUUUUGACACGUGGAGCACCUAUUAGGCACAACAUUUGAAGAUAGUAUUAGUUGGCAUGGACACUGUUUGAUGCGUGGAGGACAAAAUCCAAACAUGAAAAUGAGAUGCAAGCUUGAAGAUAGUGGCUGGGAAAAGUAUGUGACAUGAAUUGAACCAGGCAUAGAUAGCAAUGGACAAAUUAAAACUAUAUACUAUGAUUUACUAACUAGUACUAGUACUAGUAAGAGACUAAUUAAUUAAUAUCAUGAAAGAUUUAAGAGAAAUUAACUUUUUUUUCCUACAAAAGUUUAUCCAGUUAAUAAAAAAUGAGACUUGAUGAACCCUAAAUCUAAUUUACUUAAACUUUUAGUUAUAUAUAUAUAGAAAAAUCUGUUUAAACUAGAACUCUUCUAAGUAACACGUAGAAGCCAUAUUCAUGCCAUAGAGCAUCUCAGACGUGGCAGUUGCUAUAACCACUUUAAUUCAAGUCAUGCCAUUACAACCAGUGACGGAGCCCGAACCGAUGAGAAGGACCAAUAUAAAACUUAAAUUGCAUGUAAUAAAUACAUAUUUUUUUUUAUACAAAUAUUAGUAAUUAUAUAAUUAUAAUUGAAUUUUUUAAAAUAAUUAAAUAACCUUAUUGAAUCUUUUAAUAAUUGAGGAAAAUAUUUUAAUUAAUAAAUCAUGUAAUAUUUAUUUAAUUAGUGGAUCAAUCAAUUAUAUAUUUUAGGGGAAAAUCAUUUAAUCAGUUUAAAUUUCGUAUAAUUAUUUUGAAAUUUUUAUGAUUGUUUAAAAAAAUCUGAAUUUGAGGUAGAAAAUGAAUAUAUUUUUAGGGUAAAAUCAAAUCGCCAGUCUCAUUUUCCUAUAAUAAAAAAAUGUGAAUUUGAUUUAUUUUAAGAACUAAUUUAUUUUAUGAUUCUUUAUAAUUGUCUCCCAUUUUCUUAUUACUGAUUAGGGAAAAAUCAUUUUUCCAGUCCCAAUUUCCUAUAUUAAAAAAUGUGAAUUUGGUUUAUUUUAUGAUCUAGUUAAUUUUAUGAUUAUUUAUAAUUGUCUCCCAUUUUUCGUAUAAUUAAUUAGGGAAAAAUCAUUUCUUCAGUCCCAAUUCCGUGUAAUUAUUUUUAAUUUUUUUGAAGCAAUUUUUAAUUUUUUAUGAUUGUUUACAAAAACUGUAUUUAAGGUACUUUGCACUGAAACUUUUUGCACUUUUAUCUCAAAAGAGCAGGGGACCAGAAAACCCUUGCAUUUAGAAUGGUAGUACUCAAGAAGACCAACAAUUAUCAAUCAGAAUUAGAAAAUUAGAAAUUGAAUUAGGAAGAUUAAGGAUAAAGUGUUUUUAAUAAAAUAUUAAAUUAAAAACUAAAAUAAAAAGUAUAAAAUUUGUUAUGAGAUCUUAGUAAUUUAAUUGAUUGGUGUAAUUAUGUAAUUCCCAUUAUAUUUUAUAAUUGGACAAUACAUAAUAUAUAGCAGUGUUGUGAUUUAUUUUAAAGUUAGAUCAAAGUAACGGUUCAAUAUUUUAUUCUUUUGUUGGGGUUGAUAUUAUUUUCGUUUUAGCUCCUUGCAUCAUAUUAUAUUUCUAUCAUCAUAUUGAAUCAACGAAAAGGACAUUCAUUUUAUCCUAAUUCAAAAUUUCCUUACAGAUAUAAAAUUCAAAAUAACUAAAUUUAGAAGAAAUGAUUUCGCAUUCACUAAAUGUUAGCCUCCUCACACUCAAGUAGACUUCUUCUUAAAAAACACAUAUGAUGAUCAGGGUUAAUAAUAAAGAGCUUAAUUUUCCUAAAGCAAAAAAAAAAUCAUGUUUAUAACAAAACAUUUCAAUUAAUUUUUAAUUUUUUUAAUAAUUGAAAAACUUAUUUAACUGUUCCAGAAAUAAAUUAUUUUAAUACACUUCUUCUUAAGCAACGGUUCAAUAUUUUAUUCUAUCUUUUGUUGGGGUUGAUAUUAUUUUCGUUUUAGCUCCUUGCAUCAUAUUAUAUUUCUAUCAUCAUAUUGAAUCAACGAAAAGGACAUUCAUUUUAUCCUAAUUCAAAUUUUCCUUACAGAUAUAAAAUUCAAAUUAACUAAAUUUAGAAGAAAUGAUUCCACAUUCACUAAAUGUUAGCCUCCUCACACUCAAGUAGACUUCUUCUUAAGAAACACAUAUGAUGAUUAGGGUUAACAAUAAAGAGCUUAAUUUUCCUAAAGAAAAAAAAUUAUGUUUAUAACAAAACAUUUCAAUUAAUUUUAAUUUUUUUUAAUAAUUAAAAAAAUUAUUUAACUGUUCCAGAAAUAAAUUAUUUUAAUAGAUUUUUAGUAGCUAGCUUUUAGCAAAAAUCACUUAUAAUUUAAUUAGUUUUUUAACUUUCACCUUUCAACUAGCUUUAUAGUUUUCAGUAUUUCUUGCUUUCAUCUAGUUUUUUUAGUUAGUUUUGCCUAAUAUAGUUUAAAAUAAUUUACUUAUACUAUUUUUAUUUAUCAAAAAUUAAAAAUAGACAAACCUUGUUAUUUUGGAAUCCUACCCAAAAAUAGUUAUGUCUUAACUAAUUCCAAUUGUUCAUAAAUAAACCUUUUUUUUUUAUUUUUUCUUCAUAAUAGAUAAAAAAAACUGUAUUCUUCAUAAGGGUUCAUUUUCAUCACGUAUCCUUAAUUAAACAAUUAAGCAAAAAAAAAUUCAAUAACAUUUUUCUGGUACUUUGAUCUUCCUAAUUCCUUCUAAAAGAAGAAAAAAAAAAUUAAAACAACACUAUAUCAAGAAGAAGUAAACAUUCUAGUUUAUCUAAAACUGAUGAUUCAUCCAACAAAAUUUUAUGAAAUCUAAUAUUAUUGUGUAUUGAAACGGAACAAAUGAUCGUGAGACAUCUAUCAUACUUUCAUCCUUUUGGAUGUCAAAAGAGAUCAAUAACUAAACCAUUGUUGGUGCAUGCAAAAGCAUCCAGUUUACUAGUAGAACCGAUUUCUAUUUCAUAAAUUCUGUUUUAAAAUUAGGGUUUAUCUAUGAAAAGAAGUUUAAAACUUUCCAAUUAAUGUUUCUUAGAUGUCAGCAUCGCCCUAAAUAACCUAAACCUUGCCGCCACCUAAAAAUAAAAAAAUAUCCUAAACCUACAUAUUUUGCUAAAGGAAGAUGACAAAUAAGUCAGCUAGCUAGCAUCAUAUUACUAGGAAAAAAUUAUAUAAUUCUCAUUAAGAACAAUUAAAAUCGUCAAAAAUAGAAGGUUUCUUGGAUUUUCUUUUGCGUCUAGGUGAGCCCACAAGUGUCUCUUUGGAUGGGUCAUCUAAAUGAAUUCUAGACGAGGAAGAUUCAAAAUCAACACAGAUCUGAAUGCGAGAACUCAAAGAUUAGACGAUUAGCAACAGAGUCAUUUUCUUGAAGAAUGUGGCCAUUAAGGAUAAGUAUUAGCUGGGAGACCGGAAUUUUUUGUAUUUCUCCACGUUGUUUUUUAUUUUUUCUUUGACCUUUUCGACGGUCUCGGAGAAUCCCAUUAUCAUGGAGAAUGCUCUCCCUUGUUGAGGCUCCAAAAUUAUCUCCAUGUUCACUAUUGUGAAUUCUGCAUGUUGUGAAAUAUGCAAUCCACUAUGAGGUCAUAUAUAUAUAAUAAAAACUAUAUAGUCACAAUUGUAACGAUAGAAAAUAAAUAAAUAAAUAAAGUAUGACAAGAUUCCUCAUAACCUUUCACCGUAUAUAGAUACAUAGAUUUGAGUAGUUGAAUUUUAUUAAAAUUUCAUAUUAUUGGUUUAUUUUUUGGGGGUAACCGGGGAAUUUAAGUAUUUGAUCACUGAUUUGAUUUAUAUAUUGAUUAUUGAUGUUAAAUAAUAAAUCACAAAAAUAAUAAUACUUACAUUUCUUCUAUCACAUUAAAUUAAAUUAAAUAAUGUGAUAUGUGUAAAUCAUCAUUAAAUUAAAAUAUAAUUAUAUUAAUUUUUGAGAUUUUCAAAAUUAAAAUUUCUGAAAUUUGCAACAGGAUUUGAUGGUUAUUAUAUCCUAUAUUGACUACCAAAUGAGUCCUAAAAGAUUCUAUAAGUAUCUUUUAAAUUGUCAUAAUUCUACUUCUCCCAAAUAGUUUGAAUAAUAGAUUUUUUUUAUUUAUCUUGAUCACAUGUAUCUUAUAUGCAAUCCUAUUUAAGUCAAGUAUGAUCAUCAUAGAAGCUAAAAUUCUUCUUUCAAGUAUUCAACUCAGUUGCAUAUUUUUUGAAUUUGAGAUCCCUAAUCAAACUGAAAUAAUUUCACUUCAGUUGGAUAGUUCAGAUUGAAGAGUAAUUUGUCACUUAAGUGAAAACUAGUUCCUCUUCUAAACUCAAAUCCCAAACAUAUUUACAUAUUUAUUUAAAUUAAUUUAUAUAUAUUAUUUAUUAUUUUAAAUACUUUUAUUUAUAUCUAUUACAUUUUACUUAAAAUAUUGUCUAUACGCAUUAUACACUUUUCUUGUUGUAUAUUUAGUUAAGAAAAAGCUAAAGAAAUUAAAUAUUUGUUAUUUACUACUAAUUAUUGUAGAUUUAAUGAACAUCUUCACACCUAUUACACUCCAUUAUAAAUUUUCAAAAGAAUAUAAGCUUAAAUUUCAAAAGAAUACAGGCCUAAACAAGGGCGGAGUAAAAAAUUUGAUUUGAGGGGAGCCAAAAAAAAAUUUAAUAAAUAAAAUUUAAAUUUUUACAUGCAUUAAAAUAUAUAAAAAAUUUAAUAUUAUAUAUAUAUAUAUCUAAUAUUUUUUAUAAAUAAAAAAGAUAACUACAUCCGGUAUAAAAAUAAUAUUAUCUUUAAUUCUUUAUAUAAAAAUUAAUAGAUACAUUUUUAUAGCUCUAAUUAUAGAAAUAUAAAUAUAUUUUCCAAUAUGUUAAUUAUACAAAAUGAUCAUUUUAAUCUUUUAUCUUGUUUAUUUUGUAAAAAAAUAAUCUUUUAUGUUUUAAAAAAAUCAUUCUGUCCCGAUGUUUUAUAGAAAUAUAUCUUUUUAUAUUUAAUUACAACACACAUUAGCAUUAACAAUAUAUAGAAAUGCAUGUUUUAUAUUUAAUUACAACACAUUAACAUUUAAAUAACUAUGUUACUUAGACACGCAUGUAUGGAUCGAUAAUCGGAUUAGCAUGCACAGCACAUGUGAAUUAGCAAUCCCAGAAACUACUCCUGAUGUUUUACAGAUGCCAUCAUUAUGAAUAGACGAAAUUUCGUUUUGAGCCGAAAAUGUUGGCUGUGUGUACAGAUGCUAUAUUCCCGCUGCUAUAACCUCAAGUUUCUCUCAGUUCCUCAGGAAUUGCUGGUGUAGUUGUUACCACCACAUCCAUUAGCUUAGCGUGAAACAUAUAUCUAGGCACUUCAAUUCAAAAGGAUAAGUUGAUGAAUUUUGUACCCAAAAAGGAGUAUGCGUGACAUUACCUUUUUAUUUUUAUAACUUUGUAUCGGUUGGAGAUUCAAUAUUCAUUAGUGAUAUAUUUAAAUUAAGUAUAUAAGUAGGGGUUAAUACUAUCAUUUUAUAAGUUAAUUUUAUAAGAUUGAAUUUAACUCAUAAUUUACAUUAUAAAAUAUUAAAGUCUAUUAUACCAAUUAUUAUUGGAUCCAUCAAAUCAUCUAUUGUUAAAUCGUUAUCAAAUCAUCCGAAGACAUCUAGUCUUCAACAUGAUAGAGUGUGUUGAAGAUUUCACAACAACUAAUAAUAUCAGAUCAUCCACUAUAAGGUCAUUAUCGGAUCAGAUCAUCUCUAGAUAUCUAGUCCUCCAAUUUUCACCCUCAACAUGUCUACUCCUCGACUUGAUGGGAUAUGAUGUUAGAGAUCUCACAUUGAUUAGUGAUUAAAUUAAAAUAUAUAAUUUAGAGACAAUAACUUUUACAUUAUAAAUCAAUUUUGUAGAGAUCAAUUUUGUAGAGAUGAAGUUAGGCAUAAAUCCAAAUUCUAAGAUGGUAUGAAGAUUUAUUUUAAAGAUUAUUGUUGGAUUUAUUUGACCAUCUAUUAUUAGGUUGAGAUUAACUUUCAAAUGUAUGACUAGCCUAAAAAAUUUAAUACUCAAGAUGUUUAGUUCUCAACAUGAGGAUGUUGUAGUAGAUAUCCUACAUAGGUUAGUGAUAUGAUUGAAUUAAAGUAUGCAUGUGAGAGAAAUUCUCAUCUUAUAAAUUUGUUUUGUAGAGUUAAAUUAGAUCAAACUUGCAAAUUCUAAAAUGCUAAAAAAAAAUCUUGAGUUUAUAACUUUUCAAAUUAACUGUAUAAUUUUUCUCUUUUUUUCUCUUGCUUAAUAGAAAUCUAGCUAGUAUAUUUUUUUUUCGGGAUACAAGAUAGAGAUUUUGAAUUGUGAGUGAAGAUUAGUGGGUGGUUUAAAGAGCAAGAAUGAGAUGGCGACCACGAAGAAGAAAAAGGUGACAAACGGAGAUAAAAAAUAAGUCACGGAAAAAGUGAUGUUUUCAAUAAAGAAUACACAUUCAUUUUAAGAAUGAGAUGCGAUAACGAAAUGUAUGUAAAAACUAUAAAAAAAAAUCACAUUUAUUACAAAAUUAUAUAUAAAAAAAUAGAUUUUUAUCACAUGUUUUCAACCAAGAAUACAAAUAGGUACUCUCUACAAAUCAACAUCUACGUUAUUGAUUCAAAUAAAAUUAAGUUAAAAUUCUUUAAGAAAUAUCUCAUUUAAAUUUUGUAAAUUAAAAAAACAUAAUUAGCAAGAAAGACAUGUCUCUACAUAAUGUGCUUGAAAAAAAAUUAUAUUUUUUUUAUUAAUUUUCUUUUAAAAAAAGAAACAUCACACUUUUAUUGUUAUUUUUUUUCAAGAUUAGAGAAGAGAACCGUAGCAAAAAGAAAAAAUACAUUGUCUCUAGCUUUAGUUUGUUGUGUCUCCCUUAAUAUAAGGGAAAGCGAUGGAACAUUGGAGAGGCAGAAAAGAUUGCAGAAAACUUGUAUAAAAAACUGGCCAUAAGUGUAUGUAUGUGGGUUCAUGUGACAUUGACGUAUGAAGAACAUUGCAUGGGGAUAUCAACGGAACCAUGAUUGGAGAUUACUAUUCACAAAACGUCAUGAUUCUCUUGUCAGUGUUAAAAUAUAUAUUGUUCUAUUUAUUUUUUGUGCGGCUAUGCUCUUUAAGUUAAGGUAAUGGCGUGAGAAAAUGAACGAUGGAUGAGUUUCUCUUUCAAUGGCUUGUCUUUACCCUAUUUCAAGUCUCAACAUCAUCAGAAGCUUCAAGGAAAUUAAAUUUCGUGCUAGCUUGCUUGAAAGGUACUAUACGUUGAUGGAGAAACAAAAAACAAAGAAAAUUGUCCUCAUUAUAAUUAGUAAUUACCUAAGGUAAUGUAAGUCUGUCCUAUUGAAAUAGUGCACCAAUGUUUUGGUUUCUAAUUGUUCAAGACUUCUGUUCAACUAUAACACAUACAAAUGAUUAUUUACUUGGUCAAGGACAAAGUGAUUAUUUAGGUGUUGUUUGUUUAUUGUUUAUAAAAACAGUUUUCUGUUUUUUAAAAUUUGUUUGUCCUCUUAACACAUUAUUUGAAAGUAUUUGUUCUUUUGAGUACAAUUUUGUUUUCUAAGAAUUUGUCCUCUUAUACUAGAACAAAGCAUUAAAAGAAAAUUAGAAGAAAAUGACUAGAAAACAUUCAUCAAUUGUUUAUAUUUAUUAGUUUUAAAAUACUUGUUUUGGUUUCAAAACAUAAUAUAUUUUAUAUCAAAAAUUGAUAAUUAAGUAGUAUUGAAUUGUUUUUUAUUUAAGUUUUUGAAACAAAUAUAAGAAGAAAAUCAAAUAGGAUCUUAUUUUUCGGGUCUGUGAAAUGCCUAGUUUUACACGAGAGUAAACACCUAAUUACACAUCAUUUCUAAAGAAUAUAUAAGAAUAUAAAAAUAUUGAUCAUUUUAGUUUAUUUCAGAUACAACGUGUCUAAUAUUUAAAGAUUAAUAUAAGGUCAUUUAUGAUUUCUGAAACCUAAUGUAAUUUUUUUGAAAUUAUUACACGCUAAGAUGUCCUAUAUAUGUAUGAUACAUAUCCCAUACCAGUAUCCCAGUUUCAAAGUUUUACUCCACGAGUGAGCACGAUGUUAUUUGUAUAAACUAUUCAUUGACAAUUAUUAAUAUUUAUAAAAGAAUUUGAAUGAUCAUCUUUAUCUUCAGGGGAAUUUCUCAUCGAAACCAAGAUUUUUCAAUUCACAAUGCUUAAGAUAUUCUUAUUUAAGAAAUUUGAGGCAAGUUUCGGUUGGACCAUAUGUUAGUAAGAGUGAGUUUCUUUGAUGAACUUAAAAACAAAUAUAUAUAUAUAUAUAUAUAUAUAUAUAUAUAUAUAUAUAUAUAUAUAUAUAUAUAUAUAUAAAGAAGACUAAUAAAAAGUUUUGGAUUAAAAACCAUUGGUUGUUUUGUUUUUUAAAAUUUAAUUUAAGAAUAUUAUGAUAUUUUAUUAUUUAAUUUUAAAAAAUUAUCCUAAUUUUUUUUUCAUGAUUCUCUCUUAUAUAUGAAAAAUAUUUUUAUUUUUUAAAAAUUAAAUGAUAAAUGACGAUAAUUUUUUUAAAUUAAAAUUUAAAAAAUAAAAUAUUCAAUAAUCUUUUAGUCAUAUCCUUUUUGUAGCAGGAACGCAUUAACAACCAAAACACCAUAAAAUUUGGAAAAAAAACUCAAGUUCUCUUCUGAUUUUAAUUAAUUAAUUUUAAAGUUAUUAUAGUAAAUCACACUUUUAAAUCUUGUUCUCUUUUAUUAAUGACAACUAUUUUUUUUCUCUCCUUAUACUUUAAACCAUUACAAUUAAUCAAGGGAUUAAUAUACUGAAAUUAAAAUUAAAAUUAUUUAAGAAUUAUUCGAAUUUAAUAUUUAGUAAAAAUAAUUAUUCAUCAAAUUUUAUUCAUCUCUCAAAAUUUCAAAUUAAUAAAGACUUAUUUCAGUCAAAGGAUGAAGACAAUCUUGAUAUAGUAAUUACCACAAUCUCAUCUUCGUCUGCAAAAUCCGUAGGUCACGACCAUCCUGCUGCACCAUUGUACCACCACGCAAGUGCAAGUGUGCAACUUCACCUUAAUUGCACCAUGAUCACAGUACCACCACCCUAACGGAUGCCGAUCUCCGAACAAGUACAAUCGGAGCAAAAUGAAAACCAAGCAAUUGGUAAAGCUCACCAAAAUGAAUACAGACAUUGAUUAUCAACACCUCCAAUUUGAAAAAUUUGUAAAUUUGAUUAUUAACCAUAAUAGCUAAACCUACCAAUAAAACAAGCAAGAUAGAGGCAUAUAGGUUUUUUUUAUAAUUAUUUUAAGGCUACAUAAAGUUAUUUCACUAAAGGCAUCUUGACCUUCAUAAACAAGAAUUACGAAGCAAAUUAAAUAGCUUGUGGUUGUGACGAUUAUCAAGUUUGAAGAGAGACAAGGAUGAGGUUUAAAUUAUUAAUUGUAGUGGUUAAUUAGAGAGAAAGAGAAAAUUAGUUGUAGAUAAUAAGGGAGAGAACAACAAGGUUUAAAAGUGUGAUUUCUAUAUUAAUCUUAAAAUGAAUUAAUUAAAAUAGAAGAUAGGUUAGGUUUUUUUUUUUCAAGUUUUAUGGUGUUGAUUGUUAAUGCAUUUAUACUAAAAAAAGAAUACAAAGUAUAACUAACUCCUGUAUAAGACAUCAUUUAAAUUAAAAUCGAACCAAUGAUCAAUUUGGUCAAGGAAUUAUAUCAUCGUAUCAGUAAUUGAACCAAUAAAUUACUUAUUGAAUUACAUAAUCUAGGCUUUAAUUAAAAGAAUUAAAAGUUUUAUGUCUUAAAAAAGUAAAAAAAUCACAUAACAAAUUAAUACUGAUAUAAUUUCACAUAUUAAUAUAAAAUUUUAUUAUUAUUGAUAAUAUUUAGUUUAACAUAUAAUAUGUAUGAUAUAUUAAAUUAAUAUUAUAAAUAAUUUUGUAUGAUAUAUUAUUAAAUUUGUCAAAUAUAUAACAACUUAUUAUGUUGGGUUGGUGGUAAUAUAUAUAUAUAUAUAUAUAUAUAUAUAUAUAUAUGAAAAGAAACUAUCUUAUUUAUAAGAGUGAUAAAAUUAAAUUUAGACUGUAUAAUAAAAAAUGAAUGAUCAAGAUUUAAUGUUAUACGAUAGUUUUAAAAUUAUGUGAUUUUUUUGAUAUUAAAUUUUAAGUUUUCGUGUAUAAUUAUAUAACUUAAAUUUAAUUUUUAUAUUUUUAUAUUAAAAAAAAUUUCUCAUAAAAUAUGUCUUUAUAUGUAUAAAUUUAAUAAUUAAUGAAUCAUAAUCCAUCGUGUAUAAUAAAUUUAUUAAUUUUUAAAAUAAUUAUUAUAAAUUAAUUCAAACAAUAACAUAUAAUUAAAUUGAGAGUGAAUAGCCAUUGAACUCCCUCUAUAUUAGUUUUGGCACUUGUUUACUAUACCACUAUUGUAGAUGAGAUGGUAAUUAUAUUUUAAGAAGGUCGAUCAAAAGAUUAUGGUUGGAAUUGGGAUAUAUAGUGUGACUUGCGUCCAGUAUUUUUAUUUUGGUUGAAGGUAAAGGUUGUGCACGUGAACGGGUCCUCGUUGACUGAGCUGAUAGUUGGAUCAAACGGGUUGGUCCUUGGGUUUUCCUCCGUUAAAACUAUGCUACAAGACUGCCAUGAGAUGGCUUUGAUGUGAGCUAUGACACCCCAAAACUCUGCCUUCCAUUCCUUGAAGAUGAUCUUAUUUAUUCAAAUACUCCAGCAUGUCGCGUGCCAGAAGAUAUAUAUAUAUAUUUCAUAGGUUUGGCCUAGUAGGGAUUUAACGGUCAUGCAUUUACAAUAUAUAAAAUAGUUUUAUACCAUCAAACAAUAAAAAAUAAAUAUUAUAAAAAUUAAUAAAUUGAACAUAAAUAAUAUUUAUCAUCAAAUAACAAUUUAAAAUGAUUCUAUACUAUAAUACAAGACCGUUAAAUCCUAAAAUUAGGUAAUAUCUUAAAAAAUAGGUUAUGCGUGUUAAAUCUAUUGUCUUAUACCUGAUUUCAUGCAUGCAUGUCUUGCUGCUAUAAUUAUAAAUUGUCUCUAUCAUUUAAAAUACAGUAAAGAAAGUUAAUUCAUAACAUAUUGUUGCCCGCAAAUAUAUAUAUAUAUAUAUAUAUAUAUAUAUAUAUAUAUAUAUAUAUAUAUAUAUAUAUAUAUAUAUAUGAUAUGUCCCAACGACUUGAAUUUUUUAGAUCUGUCACUUUAUUACCUUUACUCAACGCUAUUUGAACGUCUAGUCUUCUAUGCAUGCCUUUUCAUAAUACAUUUAGUCUAAUGAAUAGAGUUGCUUCAGGCCUAUGAUAGAUUUUCCAACAAAUUAAUUUAUCAGAUGAGAUAGAUGCAGAGCAUUAAAGAAAGACAACUUAUUAAUUAGGAAAUAUUGGAUGUAUGGCAAACCAAAAUUGUUCAAUUUUUAUCUGUGCAAGUCCAAAAAAAGUGUAGGCAUGGGCAUGGCUUCUACUGUCUGUAUGAAAGAAGAUAGCAACAUUCUUGAGCGAGUAUCCCAUGCAAAGAUUGGCAGAAAAUGAACCUUGAAAUGAAAGCAUUAGUGCAAAGGUGAUAGAGACAUGCAUCUUCCAUUCACUUCAAGGUCAAUUUAAUAACUUUGUUAUGGAGGCAUCACAUAACGGUGAUCAGAGAAGGAAAUUAAUAACUCAUAAUUAUAUGUAAGAUCGAUAUGUGAAAACAAAUAUAAAUAUCUGCAUCAUAUAUAGUUCACUGUAACUCAAACUAUAGAAUAAGAAAAUAAAAUAAAUCAUAAUUAUAUGUAAGAUAUGUAAAAAUUGACAAAAUGAUACAUGAAGACUUUUAAUAUAUAUAUAUAUAUAUAUAUAUAUAUAUAUAUAUAUAUAUAUAUAUUUAUUUGACAUUUUUAUCACAUCAUAUCACCUAUAAAAAUAGAAGGAGAUCCAACUCAAGAAUUGGAUGUAUGAGUUUUUAUAUAUACCUAAAUUUGAUCUCUACGAUCAAAGAAAAAUCACCAUUAAUAUUAUAAUACAUGCAAUUCUCUUUUUUUAUCUCUUUUUUUUCCUGGUGUCUAUUAUUAUUAGCAUGUAGCAAGGUAUUCACAGAAACAUUAUUCAAAAUAUCAAACUAAUUAAUAAAUGGGGAAUGCAUUUUUUCUGUCACGAGUGGAAGAAUUUAGUUACCGACACCUAAAUAACACUUUUGCCCUUAAAGAUAAAUUGGCAUAUCCCGGAAAUCCAGAGAAAAAUUGACCCAGAAGUUAUGAAGCUUAAAGAACAAGCAUUACUACGAUUGGGUGGUGUUGCGGCAAUGGGGCCAUACAUUUCCUCUGCACAAUACUAAUGGUAGGGGGUCCUUAUUCUUUGAUUUUGUGUGAAAGCAGAGAAUAUUCUUAAUGUUGCUUUACUAUGACAAAUUCUUAUAUACACAACUUGACCUAUCAAUGUAAAGAAAUUAUUCCAUUUUCAACACAACUGAGCCAAAAUUUCUAUGAAAACAAAGUGAUGGAAAUCAAUUGAAGGUGCUAAAGUAAAAACCUUAAACAGUGGAAAUUACUUUUAGAUUUAAUAUUUUCUUUAUUGAACAGGACUGUCCAAUUUAAACUUGGAAUAGGGUGUGUGAUGUUGCAAGUGGAACUAGAACAAAAUGUCAAAUGGGUUUCUGUAGUACUUGAAAAUUCAUGUAGCAAUGCUGUUUCCAGAAGAGGGCGAUAUUAUCUCAUUACAACAAGGAAUGGUAAGUGAAGAGGGAAAUUACAGAAAUAAAACAUUUUCUUAUCAAAAAAUUAUAAAGAAUAAAUUGAUACUUUGUAAUGAUAUUUAUCUAUAUUAAUUCGUAUAAAUUCAGUAUACCAUCAUUCUUCAAUUUUGAUUUAAGACACAUGACCCUCAAAAAAGAGAUUUCUUCAACUAAUUUCGUUAUAGAUUUCUUGGAGUGAAAUUUAGAUGUAGAGGGAAUUAAUAAAUAUAAAUUUUGAAGGAGCAAAUUGAUGUAUAAUUCAAUCUUUCAAUUUUCAAUAUCAAAAAAAUCAUUUACCAAGUAAAAAAAUGUAGAAUAUUACAUUGACAUGGACAUAGCUAGAUCAUGGGUGUGCGAAUAAAAGGUCUUGGGUUCAGUUUCUUAAUUUAAAUAAAGAUUCAGGAAAGGUUGUUCUACAUAAAUAUUGUCAAGUUCAAACCAUAGAGAAAGGACAACGUACAUAAACAAAUUAAAGACUUUUGGGCUAUUAUCCUGCCCUCAAAACUCUCAGAAGCUUCAAUUCAUAUAUCUUUUUCUCUCUUGUUUUCCUGAGGUUAUGUCACAGAAUAUUUACUAGUGGUCAACACAGCAUUGUUGGCAAGAUCCAUGAGGUUUCAUGGUGGUCAAGUAUAUAUAAUUGUUAUGAAUGAUGAGACAGUUAUAGCAUCAUGAGAAGAUAAAAUUCUUCAUUGUGUUGAUUAGGUUUUGAAACGUACACCUUCAAGUUGCAGCAUAUCCUUAGGAGGCUUUAGCUUUAAUAUAUAAGCUCGGGAUUCUAGAUUUGAAAACAGUGCUACUUGUCAUAAUUUCCCAGUGAAGUUUACUUGUACCAAUGCUUACAAUUCUUCUACAUAUUUUUAACACUUGAAUAUGACUUUACAACUUUCUGGUUCUAUUUAGAUUCUUACAAUCUUUUAAAUGCUACUUAAUUUAGUGCUUUAAAAAAACAUCUCCUUGAGAAUUAUCAACUUCAUCUACGGGCCAAAACAAAAUCCAUGACAUUUAAACAUUUCUGCCCAUGUCCAAAUUGAUUUCCAAGCUCCCCACAAAUUUUGUUAAGUCUAUUCGUGAUCAUACGGAAUGACUAAACCUGCUCAAUUAAGGAUUUCCAAAACAUCUCUUUGAAAAAACCAGUCCAGAAAAGUUGCCCUAGAAAUGAAGAGCAUGGAUGCUGUGAUAAUUGUUGUGCAACUAUUCCCUAAUAUAUGUAAAUAUGUAAUGCAUUGUGACGAAAAUAAAAAGCUGAAAUUUCUGCUCAAGAAAAGAUCUAUCAAUUAUGGCCUAGUUAAUUUGAAUUUAUUUCAAACUUAUGUGAACUUCUCUAGGGGAAGAAUGUCGAGUUCUAUAAUGUUUAUAGGUGUUUUUUUGGUACAUAUAUAAUGGUGAUUGGUGCUUAUAGAAUAGAUGAUAAAAUGAUUGUAAUUAACUAACUAGUUUUCUACAUGUGCAAUGUGCGCAAUUUAUUUUAAUUUUAACUUCAUUUUUAAUCACAGAAAAUAUAAACAGAUUAAUAUGUAAUAAUAUAAAAAAAAUAAGAUAAAAUAUAAAAUGAAAUUGUAUAAAUUACAUUAUAUAAUUUUUUUAAAAAAUAUUUUUUUACAAUGUUUAUUAUUGCCGAACAAUUUUAAUUUUCUUUAAUACAAUAUAUUUAUGCAAUGCAUGAAAUAAUUAAAAAUAUUUUAUUUAUGAUGUUAGCAAAGAAAUUAUUUAAAACUAUUUUGCAAUAUAAAUAUAUUUAAUGAAUCAAUUAUGUAAUUUUAACAAAUCUCAUAUAAAAUAUUACAUGAAGAGAAUUUGUGAAUUAUAACUAAAUAAAAUAUGGAUAUAUUUUAUAAUAUAUAUGUAGACAUCAAAAUGAAUAAACUGUAUGAUUUUCACAGAUAAAAAAAAAAAAGAUUAAUCCUUGAGUGUUCUGAGUCCGUAGACUACCCUUGCCUAACUACCAAAAAAAAUAACUAAAAUAAAGUUCACAAUACUAUUACUAUUUAGAACAAUUACAAAUGGUAGCCAAAUUACAUGGAAAGAGAAGGGAGGGGCUGAAGCUCUUAAAUAUGCGAAUUUUCAGUUUUCUAAAUUGUCGAGGAUGGUGUCACAACAAGAAGGUUUCAAGGUUUUGUUUUGGUCUUGCCCAUAUGCUGCAAUUAGUAAAGCCUCUGCCCUUCCUGAAACAAUACAAAUUCAUUAAAACCAAAGCACGUUCAAAAGGUGUAUAGUAACAAACAGGAACCAAUCACCACGAACACUCUUUUUCAACAAAAUUUCAGAAAUGGAGAGUGCAUUUAGAAGAAAACCUACUACUAGGGCUCAAUGGAUGUUUGAAAUCUUAUAAUAUAAGUAAUCUGAAUAGAUAACAGAACCAUGUAUUGGCUUAAAUUAUAUGAAAUCAAGGGGUUCCAGAUUAAUGGAUCCUUGAAUUGGGUAAUAAAGCUCUUAAGUUCAAUAAUGAAUAAGAGAAAUGCCUAAAACACAUUCUGAUACACCUUUCAACACUUUAUAUUAUUGGGUGACAUAUCAUAUUGGGGAGUGGGGACUAAAAAUAACCCAGGAAGGUUCACUGUUUAUUAGUAGGGUCAACAUAAAAUCUUAGCUUAUUAUAGUGUUCAAAAUAAAAUGUCAAAGUGUUUUCCUAUCAUUUAUCUGAUGAAGAAUAUAUUACUAUAUAUGCGGGCACAAGCACGAAAGACCAUUCAUUCAUUGGAUAAGCUUUUGGAUAAGUGGGAAUUCCACAACUUUGUAGUAGAAAAGAAAUAAAUUUGUUGAAGUUAAUGCUACCAAGGAUCAAAUGUCAUUUGUUUAUGGACAGGGAGUGACUACUAACACUAAUAGUUUCUACUACAAACUAUAGCUUUUUUGGGUUCGCAAUCAACACAAUUUACCUAAAUAAAAUAAAAAAUUUGUAGCUGCCCUCUCCCCAAAUAAAAGGAAUCCAAUCAAAAGCUGCAAUAUGAUCCACAAUAACAUGACACUGGAGGAACCUUUCCAGUGAUUUAAUACAUCAUAUAGUACUGGACUACAAGCCCUUUGAUAAAUUGUAGGAUCUUUAAAAUUUUAACAGCGAAAUUUUAAAAUGUGUAAAAGCAGCUUACGAUUUCUAGCAUUUGGAUUAGCUUCAUUAGGCAUUAGCAUUCCCAUUCUAGUACAUUUUGAAGAUAAUUUAUGAUCAAAUAACAUGGUAGUCAAUUAAAUAACAUGCAAAACAAGAGAAGUACCAUGAUCUUUUUUCCUACUUAGCAUGGAAGUCAUUGAAGGAAAUAAUGUAGAUGCAAUUCUCCUGCUAUCAUCCUGCAUUAUAAAAUGUCCAAAAGCUAUUAAAAACCAAGAAGAGUCAACAAUAUUUAGGAAAUACCAUGUAGAGAAAGCAUUGCAGAAUAUACAGUAAAUGCUCAAAUUUCCUUUAAGGAUGUUGAGAGAUAGUAUACGUUGAAAUUUUUGGGUUUUAGGUAGAGGGAGGAAAAGUUACUGAAAUAUGAGAAAUGUUAAAAAACUCUUUUGAACAAACUAUCUACUAUUGGCUAAAAUUUAUUGGAAAUUUCAAAUUUUUGUUGGACUCAUUUCUUGUUUAACGAGUCUCUCAUGGAUUUGUAGUUUUCAAUAAUUUUUAACCAAUAAUAGAGUGUGUUAAAAGGAGUGUGUUAGAGUGUUACUAGCACUCCUCAUGUAUCAUUGAAUUCAUAUUAACUGAGAUGUAUUACAAUGUGUUGAUCUAUUAUUUGAUAUGUUCAAAAAACCUAGAGCACUAACCUUUAUUUUCAUUAAUAAAAAUCCUAGCUAACUUGAAAAAAGAAUAAUCUAUGAUAUUCUAAGAUAUGAUAAGUUAUUUUCAUAUAAUUUAACACACCCUCAAUCUAAAGCUUACGAAGUUUUAAGCUUAUUACAAAUAAACCCCUUUUCUUUUUAUCUUUUUGCAAUAAUGUGGACUCCAUCCAAAAGACAAGGAAACUCUGAGACGAAAAGCUGAAGACAUCAGGGAGAUUCGGAUAGGGUCAGACUAAAAUUAGUACAAAAGUUGGGGCAAGAUCACAUCUGAGAUAAAAACAAAUGCUGAGGUCAGAUCUAUUGAUUGAGACAAAGACCAAUGUGGCCAAGACAAUUUUCUGGGGCUUCUGGUCUGAAUCCCUAGAAUGACCGCAGGGCAAAGGAUGAUUCACUGGGACUGCCAUGGGACCAAAGUGCUUUGAGAUAGACUAAGGUAGUGUCUGGGACAAAAGACAAGGCUAGACACCUUUCUCCUUUCUCUCCCUCAAAACUAGAAUCAUGUGUCUUAAAAGGAAAAAGGAAGUGAGUUUGCCAGUUGUGACUACAAAGAACCUCUAACAUGCUGCCAAAAACCAAGGCUCCCAUAAGACCCAAACAACAGCAUUUGCCCACAAACAAACAAUAGAACCAGCAGCAUAAAAGAGCUGACAACAAGAAGGCAACACCAGUGAGAACAAUAGUAAAAAAUAUCCAAGAGAUGAAUCAAAAAAGGAACUCGCAAAUUACAAGUGGUCAUCAAAAUCAGACCAGGGGAGGCUAGCAAACUCAACAGGACUGAAGGCAGUGGACAGAGCACAUGCAAUGGCAAGGGAAACCAGAGACAAAUAAUGUGUGUAGUCUUAUGAAGACUCUGAUGACUGUGAAUGGAGAAACUUGCAGGGAUAGGGCAUAGAUGACAUGGUAAGACAGAUCAGAUUAUGACUCGGUGGAUAAGAUUUGAGCGGAUGGUGGAUGGAAAAGCUGCAAACAGCAGGGGUAGUGACUAAAAUUAAAGGAAAGCCAAAAAGAGUGUGGAGAUCCCAUAUUGAUUAGAGAUUUGGCCAAUGUAGUCCUUGUAAGGCUUGACCAGUUCUCACCUUACAAACAAGCCAAAUUUUGGGUUGAGUUAGGCCCUAAGCCCAAAUUCUAAGAAGCAUAGUAUGCAAAAUGUUAAGUACUUGCUUAAAUAUUAUUAGUUUCAACUGACAAUAUUUUUUCUUUCUUCCAUGAAAACUAACAUCACAUUUUUGGAAAUAAAUAAAGAAACCUUGAAACUGAGAAAAAUUGUGCAUGAUAAUUAGUAAGCAUCCGCUCUAAUCUGUACAGUUGGGACCAAACCAACCUUUGUAGUCCCGUUUCCAGAGAGUUCAAAUUUUGCUUUCCAAGUAAACGAUGGCACUGGAAUAACAGAAAAUCCUGAGGCAACUAAGAUGCCAAUCCACAGCCCAUACCCAAAUCCUCCACUCCACCAGCCCUUGAAUGCAAAAAGAUGGAGAGACAAAAUAUUAAUAUGACAUAAAUAAAAUUAAAACACUUUUCAAAAUAUUAAUACAACAAAAUUAAAACUAUGAUCAAAAGAUCAAAAUUCAAAACUGAAAAAUAAAUCAUAGAACAAAGCAAACUACAUGCAUUUCAUUGAAGAAAAAUCACCUAACCUAAAAAGUUUAAACAUUAAAAAGUAAAAACUAUAGCCAAUUUCCGGAUCUUUCAGUCAUUAUUAGCAAGCAUAUGAACUUCACUUAAACUUGAUUAGCACAAUUCUUGUCAAACUUCAGAAGUCCCCACAAGUAAGUUAACUAGGAAAAUGCUGCUCUUCCUCCCCUGUUAAAAAUGGGUCUCUAUCAGAAAAGAAUAGACUAUUAGAUAUUAGACUACUCAUGUUAAUAAGUAGGUAGUCUAGUAGAAGCUAUUACUUGACAACAGCCAAUAUCCCAGCACUCCCAACAUACACUGAAUGUAGACACCACCCUAAUGACAACCAUCUCAUUCUAGUCCGAUUACAGUGAAGAUUUGAGCAAUUAAUUUUGCUGCUACUCAAGGAAAAUGUUUUGGUCGAGCUCGGAAGGAAAAGCAUUUUAAACUCACAGACUCUUUAGGCAGAAUUUUCUUCCCAACAGUGACUGAGAAGUUGAUUAAGAAUCAUGUCAAUUAUGUCUGUCAGAAAUCACAAAACCAUAUCAGAAAUAAUUAGAAAUACUGUUUGGGAAAAAACUGGUCUGGAGAGGUUACAGCAUAGAAAUUUCAGGAGAUGUUACAGAUAUUUACAGCAGAUUAACAGGAAAGGAAAUAAAUUCCUAAGAUUUUCUCAAUGAAAUUGCAACAUCCAAUUAAAUAGUAAUGACAGCCUAAAGACAGAGUUGUCUCUAACUCUAUACAAUUGUAACAUAUACUCCCUCUGUUCCUAUUUAUAAGACCCAAUUACUGAAUUGCCUGAUUCAUCAAGAUUAAGGAAAAUGGUUAAUUUAGUUGAUAGCAACAAAUUUGUCUUAAAUUUAUAGCUUUUUCCAAAA